CCACCAUGUCGUGGUUUUUUCUUACAGACGAAUGAACACUUUACCCCUUGUCCUGAGUGCCAGGCCAUCCCAUUCACUGCCCCACCUCCCCUGCCCGCCCACCCGAUCCCUGGGGGAGGUCGACAUGGGACCUCUGCCCCACAUCUUACCUUGGCUGCAAGCGUACAAGUGGAUCUCCUCCCGUCCUGUGCCACUCGAUCCUCGCUGCUUGCUAAAAAGUUAUUGAAUACAUUUGUUUCUUUAAUUGUGAAAGUCCAGUCUUUUUGACAUGCGUACAUUUUCUACAGUAGCAACCACAGUGCACACACACAGUCUUCCAGCCUGCUCUGCUCGCGUGCCUUUCUGUUGUGAGCUUCUUUUUUCCACGUGGCUACGUUGGGGACCUCCGUGAUGCUUCCUGAGUGCUUACUAUGUGCCAAGCGCUGCUUUCACCAUUUUACAGGUUUUCACUCUUUCAAUCCUUCUAAGAAGCUGCGAGGGCCUUCCUUUUAUUAUCCCCAUUUUUCAGAAGAGGAAUCCGAGGCCCUGGGACCUACACCCACCCUCACACCCGGGCCCACGCUCACUUUAAUAACCCGGACUGGGCAAGGACUAAGUCCAGCCAGAGCGUCAGCCUCGCUGGCGUCCUCACUGGCCAUGGCCCUGCAGCCUUGCUCUUCAGCUCCUGGAAGCCUCCUGCCCUUGGUGGACACCCAUUUUGCUCUCUAGCAAAUGGAUAGAAAAGUUUAUGUGAGUCUGGCUGGGCGGGGUGGCUCACACCUGUAAUGCAGCUCGUUGGGUGGCUGAGGCAGGCAGAGCAUUUGAGGUCAGGAGUUCGAGACCAGCCUGGCUGACACCGUGAAACCUUGUCUCUACUAAAAAUACAAAAAUUAGCUGGGUGUGGUGGCGUGCGCCUGUAAUCCCAGCUACUUGGGAGGCUGAGGUAGGAGAAUUACUUGAAUCUGAGAGAUGGAGGCUGCAGUGAGCCGAGAUCAUGCCACUGCACUCCAACCUGGGCGACAGAGUGAAACUCCAUCUCAAAAAAAAAGAAAAGAAAAAAACGUGUAUUUGAGUCUGGGCCCCAGCCUCUGUUGGACUUUGAGUAAAUCUUAAUUUAGCACCCUGAGCUGCAACUCCUUUCUCCUGACCCUGCCACCUGCAUGUGCCAUUCUAAGUGGCUGUGCCCCAGGCUGCUCAUCCCUUCCACCCUGGGUCCCCAUACACAGCAACCCCAUGGCGUUUUUGUCCUGCUCCUUCAUAUUAAUCUGCAUUGGUGACUCCUUUGUCCCAUCUUCCCUCAGCACACAGUAGGGCUGCUGGCAGCAGGUGAGGCCUGGGGCAAGGGCUCAGAGAGGCAAGAUGCCAUUUGGCCAUGCCACCGAGUGAGCAGUUUCUCUUCUUGCCCUCCCAGGUGGCGUGAAGGGGAGAUGGCUGCUUUCUCCUGGGAAGGGAGCGGGUGCCUGGCCCAGGACCAAAUCGAAAGGUCUGAAAAACGAUAUUCAUUGUCCUAAUGUGUAAAUUUCGACAAUUUGCAAAUUUGUAGAUUCUUUAGAAUGGAACUAACUCAAGCCCUUCAUUCUGCAGCUGAGGCUCACUGCCCCCAGUGGGCAGUGGGUCCAGGGCUUUCUGAGGACAGGGCAUGACCCAGCCCUGCUGCCCCCAAGAUGGCACCUGGCUUGGAGGGGUGAGGGGCCCUGUUAGUCUGACUUUGAAGAAGACCAGCCUUCCAGACUCGCUUGGUGCCCUGACAGGAGCCCUAGGCUCCCCCAGUGUUGCCUGGAUCUGACUUUGCCUCAGUGAAAACCGCCUCGAAUUCUUUCUUGCACCGAUGGGCAGAUGGGCAGUGUCAGAGGAUCGUGUCAUCUGUCCCGUGGUGCUGGUUGGCUUGGUCAAGUCAGUGUUCAAACUAUCUCCUGCUCUUUCAAGGGGAUCUGGGGCUCUAGAAGAUUAGAGGACUUUGAGAGGUUAGUGACUUGCUCAAGGUCGGCUAGGAAGCAAGACCCAGGAUUCCAACUCAGGUCUGUGUGAUUCCUCUGCAAAAUGGAGAGGUGGAAGGAUGGAUGUCAGGUCUGAUGGAUGGAUGGAUGCCUACAUCAAGAUACAUGCAUAGAUGGAGAGAUGGCUGGCUACCUCACGAAUGCUGGUAAGAUGGAUGAGUGAAUUGAAGCACAGGUGGUGGAAGGAGAGAGGAAUGAGAGAGGCUAGUCAAUUUCCCACCAAGAUCAAAGGCUUACUUGAUCUUUGAAGAGAGGUUCCCUCUGAAUGGAGCUUGCUGGUGAAGCUCCUGCCUUCUGUUCUGCUUCUGAGCGCACUGACUGGCUCAGGUGGCUCUGGGACAACAGGUGGGAUGCCAGCUUACAGGGACCAAGUCCCAGCUGUGGUGCUGGAGCUGCUCAGUGGCAACUCUCCGUCUCUGCUGCUUUCACGCAGCACUGAGGAAGAGCAGGCAUCCGCCUUUCCACUGGCUCUCCUGGAUGACUAAGCCCUAAGCCCCAACCGCAUAUUCAGCCCUUCACUGGCACUUGGCAUAAUUUUAUCUCCUCUAAAUCAUCACAGCCACCCUCCAUGAUAGCAGUUUCUAUUCUCAAUUAAGUGAAAAGGAAACCAAAGUUUAGGAGUGGUAAGUGACUUACCCAAAAUCGUAUAGGGAGGAAAUGCAGACCCAGGAUUUGAACUCGAGUCUUCUUUCCUUCCAAACUCAUCUCCUCAACCUGUUUAUUUCCUUUUCUCUAUGACCAUGUCUGAAGAAAUCUGCCUUGGGGUUGUCUCAUAUUGGACUCACUCUCUUGAUCUGUCAGUGAGCUGAACUUCUCGUCCAAUCAAAUCCAAGCUUAUUUCCGAAGUAAUAUCUCUAGUGUAUUCUAUUUGUAAUGAUCACACAGGCAAGGGCCACACAUAUCACUGGCAUCCUACAGUACAAUUAAUCAAGUCAAAUUAGAUUCCUGGCAUCUCAUAUUCUGACUGAAUGCUAAUGGUAGCAGAUGUAAAAAUGACUCCAGUGCAAGGCAAGGAGGGAGGGGACUGGAUGUAGGGCUGAAUGGCGAAUCAGUAAGCCUUGCUGCAGACCUGGGUUAACAUUAGCAGAUAGGUUUUGAGAACCUGCUCAUGGGCUAGGCCCUACUUCACGCAUUCUAGGUGCUAAGGUUUCAAUCUCAGCUUUGCCAUUGACUACUUUUGUGAGUUUGGACAAGGUAUUUAAUUUCUGUGCCCCGUUUUCUUCAGUUGUACCAAUAGUACCUUACUAAUACCGAUAGUACCUUACUAAUGAGUACUUGAGGAUUAAAUGAGGCAAACAUAUAAAUUCCUUAAAAGAGAACAUUCCAGGCUGGGCAUGGUGGCUUAUGCCUGUAAUCCCAGCACUUUGGGAGGCUGAGGUGGGAGGAUCCCUUGAGCCCAGGAGUUCGAGACCAGCCUAAGAAACAUAGGGAGACCCCAAUGUCUACAAAAUAUUUAAAAAUUAUCUGGGUGUAGUGGUGCACAUCUGUGGUCCUAGUUACCCGGGAGACUGAGAUGGGAAGAUUGCUUGGGCCUGGGAGGUCAAGGCUGCAGUGAGCCAUGGUUGUGCCACUGCACUUUAGCCUGGGUGACAGAGGGAAACCCUGUCUCCAAAGAAAAAAAACAAAAACAAAAAAGAAUGCUUUCCAGAUGUUGAGCAAUCAAUAAAUAUUUACUUACAGUGAAAAUUACAGUUGUUAUAAGUAUUGUUAUUGAGGGGUCAUUUGAUAUCAUUGGCAGGUAAGAAUCAUUAUCCACAUUUUACCAGUAACUGAACAGGUGCUCAGAGAGGCCUGUGUGCUUGUCUUUGGAGAAGAAUGCAUCAGUGAAACAGAAACAGAAAUACUAAUCUAAAACUAGAAGUUCUAGUGAUAGAAGUAAGAGUUCUACACAGCAAAUGGGCAUGAUCCAUCUAAAGAAAGAUGAAGCCCUAAGAGAGGUGAGACUCCUGUGAAGGAAUUUCCUUGCAGUAUAGGGGCUUACACAGGGGUUGCAUGGGAGCUGGGAAGAAGCUGAGUAGGUAAAAGGCAAGAUAAAUAAUUACAGUCCUCUGAAUCCAAGUUUCUGAGGUUGAAAUUCAUUAAACUUCAUGGUUUCUAGCAGUAGUGGGCAAGGUUCCCCAGUUCUCAGAUAUGAUUUCAUUAAACUUCUUUCCCUUCCUAUUUUUUGGGGGAGAAAUAGUCACUUGAGAAAUGUUUCUUGACUUGCUCUUUUGGAGGUGGCCAGUUGGAAAAAUUCUGAGUCUCUUACCAUGAGGGGCAUGAGGACUGGGAAGCCUCCUCCUGUUUCUGGGGCAGCACAUCUGUAACUGGAGCCUAGGUGGCAUGUGGCUGCACAUCACAUGGGGUGCCUCUGGCGGGGUGCAAUCGGAUGCCCUAACAGCCAGGUGGGAGGAGAUGGGUUUAGCAUUGGUGCUGACUUGCUGGGCUGUGUUGAGGAUAAGCUGUGAUCCCAGCAUUGCCUGACUUCAGAUUCUGUGCUAGUCCUGUAAGAACUGUUGCCCCUGCAUCUCCUCCAAGAUGGAUAGUCUAUUUAUUCAUCCAGGUCCAAUGGUACAUCCUGGGGAUUCCCUCUGCUUCUGGGGCUGCCUGUGUGGGAGGUCAGAAAAACCUUUGCACCUCCCCGCCAGCCCCCGCCACGUGAUUUAUUCUCACACUCACAUUGCGGGCUGGCAGUGGGACAUUGCUGCCAAAACGAGGCUUCGGGAAGAAGUGGUAAGGCCAACUCUGGAGCGAGACUGCCCAGGUUUGCCUCCUGGCUCAGCAUCUCCUUGCGGUGUGACAACUUAUAAGUCACCUAACUUCCCUGAGUCUCAGUUUCCUUAGGUAUAAAAUAGGACUAGUAAUGCUUUGCUCAAAUAUCAUCAUCUCUGUGAGGCCUCCUCCCUGGUGUCACUCCCUACCCCCUUCCUGCUUUAUUUUCCUCCCUAGUUCUUACCACCAUCUUUUAUCCCAUGCAUUAGGCUUCCCUUUUCUGAUGAUUUUCUGUUCCUAUCUCCACCCACAGGGAUGUUAAUUCUCAUGGAACGGGGAUCUGUCCGUUUUGCUCACUACUGUAUCCCUGGCACUUAGACCCAGCAACAGUACAAAGUGCAUGCUCAGAAAUUUUGGGGGAAAAAUUUAUGAGAUACUAUUGAAUUGUAUCCACCCCAGAGGAGUGUCAAUGUAUGCAAAGUAGGCAGUGUGGUGCUUGGUACAGAGUAUGCAUUCAAUAAAUAUUGGCUAAUUAUGAUUAUUAUGUCUAAUUCACAGGACUGUUGUGAGAAUCAAACGAGAUAAUGUAUGCUGAGGCAUGCUGUGAACACUACGUGCUGGGUACAGGAGAAUGGAGGCUCCAGAGUGAAAUUAAUGACACUUUGUCGAUGAAGAUCUUGAUUGUGACCUCUGGAAAAUGAGCCGUGAACCAACCAAUAGUGAGUGCACCGCAGGUGAUCAGCUAUUCUGUAAUGAUGAGGGCCGGGCUGCUUUCUCUGUGGGCAAGGAGCAUGGAGGCUGAUGACAGGACAGUCAGGGUCCUUGUUCUUGGUUUGGAUUAUUUGCUCAUGGAUGUUGACUGUAUUAUUUAAAAGAAAUAAAUAGCUCUACGUAUUAAAAUAUCACAGAACAUGCAUGGACCAAUGAUGAGAAUGUUAUAUGAAUCAGUGUUCAUGAUUAAUCCAAUUCAACACCACUUCUAUUAAGAGUACAGUCAGGCUAUUUUAUUUGUGCUGCUGGCAGUUUAAUAUUCAUAUACAUUUUACAUCACUGUUGAUUUAAACAGUCCUCCAUUGAUAUACACCUAUGCCAUUAACUGCUUAAGAGGGUAUCACAUAGGAAGAUUGAAAGUAAUUAUCAGUAUUCUAUUGGGCAAGAAGAUGGUGGAUUUAUAGUAGCUCAUUGUGUCAUCUUUGAAAUAUAGACAAAUUAAAAGAAAGAGGGCUAAGGAUGGGCCAGUGAUAAUUGUGGCAUUGCUAUGUAUGAAGAAUGUUGAUUGAUCCAUUGAUCCAUGUGUGUCAUACUGAGAUGCAUUAUAGGAAGAGAUCUAAUGUAUUAUCUCUGUGGGAAAUUAGAUUAUAGACAUGCACUGUCUAGUAUCAUCAGUGCUAACCACUGGAGCUACUGUGCACUUGGAAUGUGACUAGUCUAAUCGACAUGUGAUCUACAUGGAAAAAUACACACCGAGUUUAGAAGCCUCAAUAUGAAAAAGGUAAAAUAUUUCUAGAAUUAUUUAUGUUUAUUAAAUGAUAGUAUUUUAGAUAUUGGGCUAAAUAAAAUACACAAUUACAGUUGAUUUCAUCUUUUUCUUUUUACUUUUUAAAUAUUGUAGCUUCUAGAAAAUUUACAAGUAUUCGUGUAGGUGGCAUUGUAUUUUUUAUUGCUCAGCACUGCUAUAAUCCAAUGAGAGGAAUAUUCAAUUUUAUGUUUUUCUAAUCCAUGGGUACUGAUUGUAUUAUUAUUGGCUAAUCAGUGAUGAAUCAAUGACAAGUGAAUAAAUGAAUGAGAAAAAAAUGGGAACAGCACAUGCUAAACAUUAAAGUGUAUACUGCUGAAACAAGGAUUAUUUUCCUUUUUUUUUUUUUUUUUGAGACAGAGUCUCACUCUGUCACCCAGGCUGGAGUACAGUGGCGCAGUCACAACUCACCACAGCCUCGACCUCUAGGCUUAAGCAAUCCUCCUGCCUCAGCUUCCCUAGUAGCUGGGACCACAGGCUCAUGUCACCACACCUGGCUAAUUUUUUUGUAUUUUUUGUAGAGAUGAGGUUUCACCAUGUUGCCUAGGCUGGUCUCAAAUUCCUGGGCUCAAGUGAUCCACCCGCCUUGGCCUCCCAAAGCGCAUGAGCCACUGUCUGGCCUAUUAUAAGUAGUUUUUAUUAAGCACCAAAACCCGUAAAAAUAAUGGCUAUGGUUUAAUGGUUAAUUCUUUUAGGUAAGGAUGGUUAGUUUGUUUAGGUAAGGAAGACAUGAAAAGAUCAUGUAAUAAUCGAUGCUGUUCUAUUUUGUUGGUGGUGUCUUGCUAGUCUUCAGUUUUUUGUUUCAAAGAAAAUUACUGACAUUAACAAAUACCUGAUUAAGUAGCUGACUAAAUGGAAGAGGAUCAAGCAUGGCAAGUGCUGAGUGAGGAUUAAUCCAUGUAGGCACUACUGAAAUCCACUGUAAGAGAUACCCAGUCUCUUACCUUCAUAGAUGGGCCUGUAGCAGGGUCUUGAUCUUAACCCUUUUAUGCCUCAUGGUAGUGAUUACAUUAGUAUAGUGUAAGUGAAUCGAUGAGUAAAUCAUUAAACAAAUUGAACAAAUGUAUAAACGAACUUUUUUUUUUUUUGGAAAGGGAGUCUCACUCUGUCGCCCAGGCUGGAGUGCAAUGGCGCGAUCUCGGCUCACUGCAACCUCCGCUUCCUGGGUUCAAGCGAUUCUCCUGCCUCAGCCUUCUGAGUAGCUGGGAUUACAGGUGCCUACCACCAUGCCCAGCUAAUUUUUGUAUUUUAGUAGAGACAGGGUUUCAUUAUGUAGGUCAAGCUGGUCUCGAACUCGUGACCUCAAAUGAUCUGCCCACCUAGGCCUCCCAAAGUGCUGGGAUUACAGGUGAGCUUAUUAAACAAGUGUGUAAAUGAAUAAAAAAAGAAAGCCAAGCAUGAACCAAUGGAUUAUUAUUAUGUUUUUGAAGCAUUGAAGUCAAUAAAAUACACACAAGCCCAGGGCUGGAUGGUUGCUCUUACUUCUAAGGGAAAGAUUUUUACAUAAAGAAGAAAAUGGAAGAAGGCCAGUGUUGAGAAUGUGUCAGGUGAUAAGAAUUAAUAUUAAUCCAGUUCUAGUCAUUGAGUUCAUUGAAUAACAAUGAGAAUGAAGAUCUAGUUGAUUAUCUCUGUGGGUGAUGGGCAGAUUGACAGAUGUUAGUUUUAUUCAGAGUUUUUGAACAGUUUCUUUGGAUUCUCAGCUAUGGAUUGUAAGGGAAUGAAUGAAUAAGUUUAUGUCACAAUAAGUUAAAAGAGGACAGAUGACAGACCAGUGAUGGUCAUAAAUUUUGAAGCAAGUAUUAGGAUAAUACAUUUCUAUACUGCUGAUGUCCAUAUAAAGGAUACAAUGUCUGGACUCCUAAAUGCUUAAUGUUCACAGAUUUGUUCUUGUUAUAGUCAGUUUUGGAUGCUGGUAGAUUUAUCCUUCUUAAUUUUCUUUCGAAAGAUAGAUAUGAGAUUAAAUUAACCUAUUACAAAUUAAAUAGUAAAUAAGCAAAUAGAUGAAUACAUAAAGAGGGUCAAGAAGGAUUUGUCAAUUAAAUAAAAUUUUAUUUUAUUUUAAGAAUAAAAUAAAACUUAAAAAAAGAAUGAGCAUUGGUGAAAAUGUACCCUGAAACAAAAUUUAAGAUCAAUAUAAUUCUGAACAAGUGGGUUCCACUAAAAAACAGAUGGAAGAAAAUAACUUCAUUCAGUUUACAAUUGUUUAAUAUGUCAUUUUUUCACCACUCUUAAUUUACACAUUCUGCCAUUGAUAAAGAUUUAGGUUUCUAAGCUAUUGACAGAGAAAACACAAGUAAGGAAAAAAAUGUUGUCAGGGAAGUAAAACAAGUGGUUCCUUUAUGUUCUUUGUUAAAUGUUUAAAAUUUGAAAAAGUUGAGGAAAGGCUAGAGAAAGAGGGCCCUGCCUGGACCACAUUGAGUGUGGGACUGUAUAAGGAUUUUGGUUGGUCCAUAUGUGUAACAGUGAGAUCCACUGUAGAAGGAGAUUUGGUGGAUUAGCUCUUGGAGAAAUUAGCCUACAUCCAUCAGUUAUAAUAUUCAUAUAUCUUAUUCUUGCUUUGUUGUGAUUCAUGAAUAUUGAUGAAGCAAUUUUUGUCAAUUAAUGAAUUAAAUCAAUAAACAACUGUAUAAAUAAAUUAAAAUGUCUCAAAACUAAACCAAUGAUAAGUACCCUGAGGUGCUUGAAUCAAGGAUUUUGAUUAAACUAUAUGACUCUAGGUCCAUUAUAAAAACAAACCUAAUUUACUGCCUCAGUGGGACAUGAGCUUGUAGCUGCAGUGAGGAAUAUAGGCAUCUCGUGCUUGGGAUUUUGCACAUCUGAUAUGAACCCUAUUAUUAGUAGUAAAUCAGUGCAUGAGUAAAUAAAGACACAUACCAAUGAAUUCAGCCAAAGAGGGCUGGAUAUGCACCAAUUAUGAGAGUAUUAUUCUAAGUAAAUGAAGGAAGGGAUUAUUUAUUUGCUUAUUUAUUUUUUAUUGACAGAAUACUUUUUUAUUAUCUAUAGCAUCAAGAACAAUACUUCCUUCAUAGCAAUGACAAAAUAAAACUAUAAUAAUAAAAUAAUAAAAAAUAAUAAAAAUGUUAGCAGUAUAGCUAACAAUUGUUUACUAUAUAUUAAUCACUGAACAAUUUUUUUAAAAUUUUCUAUUUUUAUUUCAAUAGUUUUGGGGGAACAGGUGAUUUUUGUUUACAUGGGUAAGUUCUUUAGUGGUGAUUUUGGAGAUGUUGGCGCACCUGUCACCUGAGCAGUGUACAGUGUACCCAAUGUGUAGUCUUUUAUUCUUCAUCCCCUACCAGCCUUCCCCCUGAGUCCCCAAAGUUUAUUAUGUCAUUAUUAUGCCUUUACAUCCUCACAGCUUAGCUCCCACUUAUAAGUAAGAACAUACAAUGUUUGGUUUUAUUCCUAAGUUAAUUCACUGAGAAUAAUGGUCUUCAACUCCAUCCAGGUUGCUGCGAAUGCCAUUAUUUCGUUCCUUUUUAUGGCUGAGUAGUAUUCCACAGUUUGUGUGUGUGUGUGUAUAUAUAUAUAUAUCACGUUUUCCUUAUCCACUUGCAGAUUGUUGGGCAUGUAGGCUGAUUUCAUAUUUUUAAAAUUGUGAAUUGUGUUGCUAUAAACAUGUGUGUGCAAAUGUCUUUUUCAUGUAAUGACUUCUUUUCCUCUGGGUGGAUACCCAGUAGUGGGAUUGGUGGGUUAAAUGGUAGUUCUACUUUUAAUUCUUUAAGGAAUCGCCAUACUUUUUUCCAUACUGCUUGUACUAGUUUGCAUUCCCACCAGCAGUGUAAAAGUGUUCCCUUUUCACCACAUCCAUGCAAACAUUGAUUAACUUUUGAUAGUUUAAUUAUGGCCAUUCUUGCAAGACUAAGGUGGCAUCCCGCUGUGGUUUUAAUUUGCAUUUCCCUGGUAAUUAGUGAUGUUGAGCAUUUUUCAUAUGUUUUUUAGGCAUUUGUUUAUCUUCUUUUGGGAAUUAUCUAUUCAUGUCCUUUGCCCACUUUUUGAUAGAUUUUUUUUUGUUUUUUGUUUUUUUGCUGAUUUGUUUGGGUUCCUUGUAGAUUCUGAAUAUUAGUCCUUUGUCAGAUCAUAGUUUGCGAAUAUUUUCUCCCACUCUGAGAGAUGUCUGUUUACUCUGCUGAUUAUUUCUUUUGCUGUGCAGAAGCUUUUUAGUUUCAUUAGGUCCCAUCUAUUUAUUUUUGUUUUUGUUGCAUUUGUUUUUGCGUUCUUGAUCAUAAACUCUUUGCCUAGGCCAAUAACUAGAAGAGUUUUUCUGAUGUUAUAUUGCAGAGUUUUUAUGGUUUCAGGUCUUAGAUUUUAAGUCUUUGAUCCAUUUUGAGUUGGCUUUUGUUUAAGGUGUGAGAGAUGAUGAUCCAGUUUUACUCUUCUACACGUGGCUUGCCAAUUAUCCCAGCAGCAUUUGUUGAAUAGGGUGUCCUUUUCCCACUUUAUGUUUUUGUUUGCUUUGUUGAAGAUCAGUUGGCUGUAAGCGUUUGGUUUUAUUUCUGGGUUCUCUCUCCUUUUCCAUUGGUCUAUGUGCCUAUUUUUAUACAAGUAUCAUGCUGUUUUGGUGACUAUAGCUUUGUAGUAUAGUUUGAAGUUGGGCAAUGUAAUGCCUCCAGAUUUGGUCUUUAUGCUUAGUAUUGCUUUGGCUAUGUGGGCUCUUUUUCAGUUCUAUAUGAAUUUUAGGAUUAUUUUUCUAGUUCUGCGAAGAAUGAUGAUGGUAUUUGGAUGGUAAUUGCAUUGAAUCUGUAGAUUUCUUUUGGCAGUAUGGCCAUUUUCACAAUAUUGAUUCUAUCCAUGCAUGAACGUGGGAUGUGUUUUCAUUUGUUUGUGUCAUCUAUGAUUUCUUUCAGCAGUGUUUUGUAGUUUUCCUAGUAGAGAUCUUUCACCUCUUUGGUUAGGUAUAUUCCUAAGCACUUUUUUGUUCUUGUUCCAGUUGCUGUAAAAGGGAUUGAGUUUUCGAUUUGAUUCUUAGCUUGGUUAUUGUUGGAGUAUAGCAGUCCUACUGAUUGCAUGAAAGGGAUUAUUUAAAAGAGGACAAACAUAGAUGAAUAAAGUUAAUGUAUCAUUAAAAAUGUUCAUAUAAAUAAAAGGGGACUAGGGUUCUGCACACUGUGGAUAAAGAACAUAGAGUCAGUUAUUUGUAAUAAUAUUGUAGGCCAUUUUGCAUUUUCCUUGAAGAAAAUAAAAAUACUAACAAAUUAUUCCAUGAGUGAAUAAAAAAUAAACAAAUAAAUGGAUUCAUAAAUUAGGAUCAAACAUGGACCAUUGGUGAAAAUGUGUUAAGAAAUGGGGACAUAAAUUUAUCCAAUUCUGAUCAAGGAAGACCUAUAAAAAAGAUCACCUUGGUUCUUACCUAUGUGGGUGGGGCUUAAGUGAUAGAAUUUGGAACAUGCAUAGUUUUUUAUUUUUUUUUUAGGGCACAGGUUCGGGAGUUUUCACUAUAUUGCCUAAAUUAGUAAUUAAAAAAGUCAAUAAAUAAAAUCAGGGCCAUUCUUGGGCUAAUGAUGGGAAUUUGACAAAAACUGGAGUUUUUUUUUUCCAUAAAUUUGGUACAACAGGACUUAGGUCCCUUAAAAAAAAUCUAAAUCUGUGCUGCUUCUUGAAUUUUCUAAAAUCUAGUUUUUACUCCACAUUCUGUAUGCCAGAUCUGACUUAUUUGUUAUCCAAUGAUGGAGAUCAUGGCUGUCACUUAUGUGGAUAAGAAGCAGAGAGGCACGUUAAGUAACAGAGUUCUUGUUCUUGCUUUGAAGGGGGCUAUUCAUGUUGUCCAUGGAAUUAAUUCAAGGGAAUGAAUGGCUACCACAAACAUAAAUAGAAUUUAAAAAUGCUGAGAGAGUGGAUGUGAAGUGUUCUCACCACAAAAAUGGCAACUACGAGAAGUAAUGGUUAUAUCAAUUAGCUAGAGUUAGUCAUUCGACAAUGUAUAUAUACCUCAAAACAUCAUGUCGUAUGCGAUAAAUACACAUAAUUUUAUCUGUCAAUUAAAAAUAAAAUAAUAAAAUCAAAACCAAUUAAACAAUGCCAUGCAUGGGCAAAUAUUGGGAAUAUGUAAUGAACCAUAGGUUAAGAUGAAUUCAUUUUAGUACAGCUGAUGUCCCUUACAAAGAUGAAUUUAUUUUGGUACAACUGAAAUCCCUUGCAAACAUAAUUGGAGGGGGUUGUAUUCAUUUUCACAGUUGCUUAAUAUUCUACUCUAUUGUGCACCGUAUUUUAAGAAGCUUUCUCUAUUGAUAAAGAUCUAGGCUUUUUCAUUGUUGGGGAGGGAGCACCUACAAAUACUGAACAAAUUGCCAGUGUUCCAGUUGUGGAAUGAGGUGAUAGGGUGUUCAUUGUACUGCUAUUAAGUUAUGAGUAAAUUAAGCGAAAGACGAUUGAGCAAAGAGCAGUAGCACACGGGAUGGGUAGGAAGCAAGGUUAUCAAUUAAUUAUAGGCACAGUCUGAGGCCCAAUUAAAAAGAGAUCUCGUCUACCAGCUCUGUGGGAAACAAGCCUGGAAAUAGCAUUCUGCAGCAGUCAGAGGUCUUGUUCUUGGGUUUUUGUGAUUCAUGGAUAUUAAAUUAUUUUGUGGGUGAAACCGUGAAUGAAAUAAUAUGCAUAAUCAAUAAACAGUGCAUAAGUAAAUACAUGAGGAAAAAGUGAGUGAUGAAUAGUUCUGUGGCAUAUGAAUCAUUAAUUUUGAUUAAACCCUAAACUCUGAAGUCCAUUAGAAAGAGACCUUGCUCUUCUCUGUAAGAGAGUGGAAUUCAGAGUAAAAGUUCAGUUUCUUGGGCUUUAGUGCUUCCUAGGUAGGGAUCAUAAAUGAAUCAAUGAAUGCAUUAACAAAUAAAUGUGUAAGUGAAGAUAAAGACUGUCAUAUGUGGACCAUUUAUGAGAGCAUGUCAUGAAACAAGUAUUUCUAGGAAUAUAUUUGUAGAAUACUGAAUUUCAAUAUAAUAUAUAGGCAAAAGCUGUCAUUUGGAGUACAUAGGAGCUGCAGACACACAGAAGCACAUGGACAGAUGCACCUAAGUGUCCAUGUUGGCAUUCUGGAUUGGUAAGAGGUUGCUAGCUGUCAGCUUAUUGAGAAGGAAAAAUAUUUACACAAACAAAAGAUUACAUGACUGUAAUAGAAAAGGAGCAAAUAUGUGCCAAUUUGAGGAUGUGUUACAUGACACCAGUUAUGAUGGAUCUGAUUGUAUCCACUGAAUUUUAUAAAAAACGACAAAAAAUGGCAAGGGAUAGAGUCGGUUAUUUCUAUGGGUUGUUUUGUUUUGUGUUCAAGUUCAAGUGUAGAGUCUGGGAUCUCUGGUAAUUAUAUAUUGUUUUUUAAGUUGAAUGAAUAUAAUUAUAUCUCAAGGGCCAACUCUGGACAGUGUGGAGCAUGUGAUGUGGAAUAAAGCUUAUGACUAAUCCCGUUCUACCCUACUGGUGUCCUUAUAGAGAAAGUAGGAUCUAGGCGCUUCUAACUUGGGUUAACUUGGGUUAAGUUCAUAGAGAGGGAUCAUAGAAUAUUUCAGUUCUGGGCUGCUGGUGGGUUUACCAUAUUUUAUUGAGAGAGGGCCAAACACGAACCAAUAUUCAGAAUGUGUCGUAUGACCAGGGUUAUAAUUAAUCCAACAUUAUUUAGUGAGUUUUAUUUUUAAGAAAAUUAAAAGAGGAUUUUUUGGGCUGUAGCUAUGGGCUAUGAAUAUGUAGACAGAUAUUGACAGUUCUUAACCUUUGUCUUGGAGUCCAUUGUUAUUGAUAUGUUGUUCUCAGGGAAUAAAGGAGGUUAUUCAUAUCUAGAUCAAUUAUUUAAGAGAAGGCCAAGCAUGGGCCAGUGAGGAACAGGUGUUAUGAACCAAAGAUAAUGAUUACUCCAGUUAUACUCUAAUGUUGUCCAGAUAAAUAGAGCUCCAGGUUGCCCCUGCUUUGGAUAAAGCACACAUUGAAAUUUCUGUGGAGUAAUUCUUUAGAAAAACAGAUAUGUAAUUUAUUCCAUGCAUAAUUGUAUAUAUGAGUAAAUAAGUGAAUCACUAGACAUGUAAAUCAGAAAGAUUUUGCAUCAUUAAUGAGAAUAUGCCAUAAAACAAAGGUUUACGUUUAUCUAAUUUAGCACAAGUGAGAUCCACUAAAAGUGAUCACCUAUCUGGUAAAUUUAUGGAUAGGGAGUAUGUAGACAGAUAUUUAUGAUAGAUAUGGCUCUUAUUCUCAUGUUGAUAUUCAUUGUAUUAUUUAAAAGCCCAAACUACACAAGUCAAUAAAUAAGGAGUGCCAUUUUUGGGCAAUGAUGAGAUGACGGAAGUUUAUGAUUAAUCUAAUACUGCCAAACAAAUUUCCAUUAAAAAGUCUAACUGUAGGGUCUUUCUUUCUCUUGAAAGUAUGUAUUUUACUUCACCAAAUGAGCACAUUAUGGUGAAGAACUGAUUUAGUCAUUCUCUAAUGCUAAAGAUCUUGCCUUUUACUUCUGUGGGUAAGGAGAGAAGAGAUUUAUGUAAGUAACAAUUACUGUUUACUGUUCUUGGAUUGGGAGGUUGGUUCAUGGGUGUUGCCUGAAUUUAUUAAAAUAAUAACUGGAUAUAUUAAUAAAUAAAACUAGGUAACACCAAUAUGGACCAGUGAUGAGAAUAUGUUCAGAAUUGGGAUUUAUGAUUAAUCUGAUUUGGUACUAGUAAAAUUCAAUAAAAAAGAUACAGGGUAUUUCAUUCAUUUUCAGAGAUGAUUCAAAUUGUUUUAUUGUUGCGUUGUGAUUCAGUUAAGUACCUCUCCAAUGAUAAAGAUUUAGGCUAUUAAUUCCUUGAGGGAGGAGCACAUAGGAAGAUGGACAGUGUUGUCAGUGUUCUAGUUGUGUGUGUGUAAGAUUAUGAUUCCUUGGUGAUUUAUUAUACCAUAUUUGGCACUUGAAAAAGGACCAACCGUGGACCAGUGAGUAGCAUGGAGCUGACAUGAAAGAAGGAAGUUGAUUAAUUUAUAAGUGCAAAAAGUGCAUAUAUGUAUAUAUACGUAUACAAACUCACACACACAUAUGUUGCAAAAAGUGACUUCCAUCUAUUAGCUCUUUGGUCAAUGGACAUAUAUACAAUCAUUAGUAUUCACAGAUGUUGUUCUUGAGCUUUUUGAUUCAUGAGAAUUGAUUAUACUAUUAUUAUUAAUGAAUCAAUGAAUAAAGAAAUAAACAAUGCAUAAAGUAUGUCAAGUAUAGCCAAUCAUUAGUAUUCUGAGCUGUAGGAAUCAAAGAUUUUGAUUAGAUUCUGUAACUCAGAGGUUUAUUAGAAAAAAGAAACUAGUUAUUUCGUCCAUGGGAAAGGGGCUUACAGCAAAAGUUAGGAAUAGCCAAAGAUCUGAUUCUCAGUUCUUCAUGCCUGUGAACUGUAUGAGAAGUGAACCAAUGCAAGAAUAAAGAUGUAGAAAUCAAUGAUGGCUAAUUAUGGAAGUCUUUAAUGAAACAAGGGUUAUUACUAAUUAUUGUUAUUUUCUGAAGCACUGAGUUUCAUAACAUAAAUAGAUUAAGUGUCCCUUACUAUUUUCCAUAAAAGACAUAUCUAAUUUCACGAGAGUCCCUGUUGUAAUUUUGGAUUGAUGUUGGGUUGUCAGUUUUAUUUAGAAAAGAAACAAAUCAUUUACAUUAAAAGUAAUUGUUCCAAUAAUUGCCUAAUUGAAAGAAGGCCAGGUGUGGACUAAUACUGAGAAUAUGACCAUAGGUCUUAUUAAUCCAAUUCUGUUCACUGAACAUUAUCUAAAACAACAAAAAUGAUCUAGCCGUUUGUAUUUUUGGGCAGUGAGCAUACAAACAGAUAUUAGUCAGUGUUCUUGUCCAUUGUCUUGGCUUUUAUUCAUUUUGAUGUAUUGUAAAAAGUGAAUGAAUAAAUGAGUUUGCGUUUCAAUUAUUUAAAAGAGUAUGGAGGAUUGGCCAAAGUGUCAUCAAACAAAAAUAACAAUUAACCCAUUUUUACAGAUGAAAAAUAAAAGAAAUCUACAUGGAUCCCACUUUGGACAAAGUGCGUGUCAACAGUUGCAUGAAAUGGUAUUUCACGUCUUGAUUAUUGUUUGUUUUUAUUCUUUUUUUAGAAAAAAUGAAUAAAUGAUCAAAUUAUUUUGGGAGUAAUUAAAUAAAAGAAAGAACACAAGUGAGUCAGUAAAUGCUUAAAUUAAGGUAGAUCUUGGAUCAUUGCUUCAUGGCACACUCUCAGAAAUGCUCAAAUAUGGUGCCUUAAAAAAAUUAAUGAGGUUUGGGUGUUGAUGUGGUUAGGGAGUAUACAGAUAGAUAGUUGUUAGUGGUUACAUUUAUUACUCUUGCUUUGGGUGGAUUUAAGGGUUCAUUAUAUUAAGAAUUAAACAGUAAGUAAAUUCAUACAUAAAAGGUAUGGUUAUUCUGGAGUCAAUAAUGAGAAUGUGUUAGGAACCAAGGUUUAUGAUUAAUCUAAAAUAAUUUCUAAAAGAAGUUAAGUCUUUGCUGUUUCGUUCUUUCUAAAAUGUGUAUUUUCCUUCACACAAUGGACAUUCCACAGCUAAUUAUUCGAUAACAAUAAAGAUAUUGGUGUUUUGCCUCUGUGGUUAAGGAGCUCAGAGACUGUUGUAGAUAAUAAAGUUCAUGUCCUGGGUUUAGGUGGCUUGUUCAUCACUAAAUUAUGUUAGAAGAAUAAACAGCUAAAUAUAUACAUAUAUAAAAAGCAUACCAUACAAGAACCAAUAAUGGAAGUGAACCAAGGUUUAUGAUUAGUCUAAUUCAGCCCAACUUAGGUCCAUUACAAAUGAUGGAGGGCUUUUAUUAAUUUCAGAGGUUUUUAAUAUUGUAUUUUAUUUUGUGCCGUGGUUGAUUUACACACAUUUCUUUAAAGUUAAAGAUCAAGGCUAUUCACUCCUCUAGGGAGAAGCAGAUAGGAAAAGGAAGAUAGUGUCAGUGUCCUCAUUGUGAGUUAAGAUGGUGGUUCACAGUUGUUCAUUCUAUUGUAUUAUUAUCUUUUGCUGUGUAAUGAAUUACUGAACAAUUUAAUGGAUUAAAACAACAAUAAACAUUUGUCAUUUCUCACGGUUUCUAUGUGGCAGGAAUCCAGGAGAGGCUUACUGGGGGCAGUUUUAGCUUAGGGUUUCUUGUGAAGUUGCAGGCAAGAUGUCAGGUUGAGUUGCAGUCAUCUGAAAGCUUGACUGUGCUAGAGUGUCUGCUUCACUUACAUGGCUGGAAAGUUGGUGCUGAUUGUGGGAAGCCACAGUUUCUUCACGAAUAGACUCUUCCUCAGGACUGCUUGAGUAUCCUUACAACAUGGCAGUUGAUGUCCCCUAGAGCAGUCAAUCUAAGACAGAGAAAGGUGGAACCCUCAAUAUAUUUUAUAAUCUAGCUCCAGAAGUCAUACACCAUCAUUUCCACAGUAUUCUAUUGGUAAUACAGGCGGUCAUGAUUUAAUAUGGAAAGAAGCUACACAAGGCUAUGCAUACCAGGAGCAUGGGCCUUGGGAGCCAUUUGGAGGCUGGCUACCUCAUGUACUAUCUUUAAAAUAUGGACAAAUUAAAUAAAAGAAAGUCUGGAUGAAAUAUUAAUGUGAGAUUGGUAUGAAGCAAGGAAGUGUAGUUAAUUAUUUGUAUAAUGCUUGGAUCCAUUCUAAAAAAAAUGCAGUAUCACUUCUAUGGAAAAUAAGCUUAUAGAUCUCAGUAAUAUUCAAGGAUCUUGUUCUUAGUUUUUUUUGAUUUGUGUCUAUUGGCUUUGUUGUUAGUGAUUCAAUGAGUGAAACAAUAAACAAAGGUAUGAAUGAAUGAAUAAAAAAGAAAUGCUAGGCCUAGACCAAUGAUGAGUAUUCUGGGGUGUCUGAAUCAAUGAUUUUGAUUAAACCCUGUAACUCUGAGGUCCAUUAUAAGAGGAGACCUAGUUAAUACCUGUAUGGUAAAUGAUAUUAUGGUGGAAGUUAGAAUUAUUUGGGAUUUUGUUCUUAGGUGGUUGAAGUUCAUAGGUGUGGAUUGUAUUACUAGAAAAGAUUUAGUAAAUGAAAAAUGAAACAAAUAUGUAAAUAAAGGAAGACAAGUAGAGCCAUAUGUUGCCUAAUUAUGAGAAUGUAUAAUGUAUUUAUUAUUAUUAACACACUUCUGAAGCACUCAGUUUCAACAUAAAUUGAUUAAAUCUGAUACCUAUUUGGGUAAGGAAUAUACAUACAGAGACAAGUACCUAGAAAUCAGUAUUGUUUGUCCUGCAUUAUUUAGAUGGUGCUGUUUCUUAAUGAACACAAGAAAAUAUGAUCUAGUCUGGGAAUCAUGAGCAAAUGACAGGUGUUAACGCCAUUCAUAUUUCUGAUGCAAUCUGUAUGUUCACAGAUAUUGAUGAUGUCAUGAGUGAAUGUAUACACAGGAGUGAAUGUAUUCAGUUAUUCGAGGAAGUUUCUUUAUGGAGCAGAAAUUUUGAAAGUUCAAAGAUCAGUUGAUUAUAUUUAUGUGAGUCUAUUUCUGGGCUUUCUACUCUGUUCCACUGAUCUAUUUGUCUGUUCUUUUGCCAAUACCACACUGUCUAUUACUGUAGCUUUGUAGUAAGUUUUGAAUAUGGGUAUUGCCAGUCCUCCAACUUUGUUCUUCUCUUCAAUGUUGUGUUGGCAAUUCUGGGUCUUUUGCCUCUCCAUGUAAACUUUAGGACAGUUUUGUCAAUAUCCACAAAAUAACUUCCUGGGGUUUUUAUUGGGAUUGCAUUGAAUCAAGCUGGGAAGAACUGACAUCUUGACAAUAUUGGACUUUCCUAUCCAUAAUCUCCAUAACUUUUUCCACAAUGGCUGUACUAAAUUACAUUCCUACCAACAAUAUAGAAGAGUUCCCUUUUCUCUGCAUCCUUGCCAUCAUUUGUUACCUUUCAUUUUUUUGAUGAAAGCCAUUCUAAAAGAUAAGAGAUGAUAUCUCAUUGUGAUUUUAAUUUGUGUUUCCCUAGUGAUUAGAGUGACUGAUAAUUUUUUAUAUAUCUGUUGGCCAUUAGUAUGUCUUCUUUGGGAAAAUAUCUGUCCAAAUCCUGUGUCUAUUUUUAAAUUGGGUUUUGUUGCUAUUGAAUUGUUUGUGUUCCUUAUAUAUUUUGCAUAUUAACCCCUAUGAGAUGUAUGGUUUGCAGAUUUGUUUUCCUGACCUGGAAGUUGUCUCUUCAUUUUGUUAACUGUUCCUUUGCUGGGCAUAAGGUUUUUAAUUUGAUGACAUUCUACUUGUCUAUUUUUACUUUUGUUGUCUGUGUUUUUGGGGUCUUAUUAAAAAAAUCAUUGUCUAUACCAAUGUUGUGGAGCUUUUCCUCUAGUAGUUUUAUAGUUUCAGAUUUUAUGUUGAAGUUUUUAAUCCAUUUUGAGUUGAUUUUUGUAUAUUGGGUGAGAUAAAGAUCUAAUUUCAUUCUGCAUGUUGAUAACCAGUUUUCCCAAAACCAUUUAUUGAAGAUACUGUCUUUUUCCCAUUGUGUUCUCUCGGCACCUUUGUCCAAAAUCAAUUGAUUGUAAAUGUGUGAGUUUAUUUAUGAACUUUUAAUUCUGCUCCAUUGGCUGAUAUAUCUGUUUUUAUGCCAGUAUUAUGCUGUUUUGAUUAUAAUCACUUUAUAAUAUAUUUUGAAGUCAGGGAUGUAAUGCCUCCAGCUUUGUUCUUUUUGCUUAAGAUUUUUUGUAUGUGGCUAUUCAGUGUCUUUUGUGGUUCUAUAUGGAUUUAAGGAUUUCCCCCCCUAUUUCUAUGCAAAAUGACAUUGGAAUUUUAAUAGGAAUUGAAUUGAACCUGUAAAUGGGUUUAGGUAGCAUAGACAUUUUAACAAUUUUAGUUCUUUCAACCCAUGAACACAGGGUAUAUUUCCAUUUAUUUGUGUUUUCUUCAAUUUCUUUCACUAGUGUUUUAUAGUUUUCAGCAUACAGGUCUUUCACCAUCUAGGUUAAAUUUAGACAAUAUUUUUGGUGCUAUUGUAAAUGGGCUUAUUUUCUUCAUUUCAAGUUAAUUACCUAUUAGGAUAUAGAGUCACUACUGAAUUUUUUUUGAUGAUUUUCUAUCCUGCAAUUUUACUGAAGUCAUUUAUCAGUUCUAACAGUUUUUUUUUUUUUUUGUGAGGUAGUUUGGAUUUUCUGUAUAUAAAAUCGUGUCAUCAGCAAAUAGAGACAAUCUCACCUCUUCUUUUUUCUAUAAAGAUGCCUUUUAUUUCUUCUUGUUCUUCUAGGAUAAGUCUACUUUUCUUCCACAUAACAACCACAGGAUAGAUGACAUUCAUUUUCUAAGAAACAAAAUCUUGGCAGUUAGAUCCGUGGGGUAAAGAAUAUAGAUACUAAUGUAAGUUAACACCUCAAGUUCAUGUCCUUGGUUUGGAUGCUUUGUUCAGGAGUGUUUAGUGGUAUUUCAAAGGAAUCAAUAUCUAUAACAGAAAUUAAAAUAACCAGGAAUGGACCAGUGAUGGAAAUGUGUUCCGAAAAUAUGUUUAAUAUAAUUUGGCACAACUGAAGUGAUAAAAAUAUAGUAGUUAGACCAUUUAUAUUCACAAUUAUUUAACAUUGUAUCUUAUUUUCUACCUCAAAUGAUUUAAUCUUUUCCAUAUUGGUAUGGUCCUGGCCGAUAACUCUUUGUGUGGCAGCCUGAGAGAAUAUGGAAGACACUGUCAGUGUUGGAAGAUGGUGGUUUUAUCACUUUUCAUUGCACUGUCUUUAAAACAUGGGCAAAUUGACUAAAAGAAGACUACAGAAGAAAUAAUGGUGAUUGUGAAUUUGGUAUGAAGCAUGGAUGUUAAUUAAUCACACAUGUUCUCUGAGGUCCAUUGUUAAGGGAGAGAGCCACUAAUGGGGAGAUCUUAUUCCUAGAAUUUUGUGGUUAUAUUAUUAUUCAUGAACCAAUGAAUAAUAAAUGAAUGAUAUAAAGGAAGAAAAACGUGCUUGGACCAAUGAUGAGUACCAUGGGGUAUCUGAAACAGGAUUUUUGAUUAAACCCAUAUGCAAUUCUGAGGUCCAUUACAAAGAGACACGUAUUAUUCCUUUUUUGGGAAGUGAGCCUAUGGUACCUUUUCCUUGGACUUUGUGGUUCUUGGGGAUGGAUUGCAUUUUUGUUAUAAAAUCAGCCCAUGAAUUAAAAAUUUAUCAAUGAGUAAAACAUAAAGCAUAAGUCAUGUACUUAUUAUCAGCGAAUGUAAUGAAACAUGGAUUAUUAUUAAAACUUAUCUGAGACUCCCAAUAAAUUAAUACCCAAGGCUUCUACCAUUCUGGUAAGGAGCAUAUGGUCAUUUGUAUGCAAGAGUCAGUUUUUGUUCUGUGUUGGUGGUGGGUUGCUAACUAUUUUAUUAAGAAAAUGAAGCAUCUUUAAUCAUGUAAAUAGUUGGUUAAACAACCACUUAAUUGAGACCAAGCAGAGACCAAUGAUGAGUGUAUUAAUCUAUUUUUUAAUGGAUUUUUAUUAAACAAAUAAAAAAAAGAAACACAGUCUAUUCUUCCUGAGGGCAAUGACUCUAGACAGAUGUAAAUAUUCUUCAGUGUUCUUGUCCAGUGCUGUGAGAUCACAGAUACUGAUGACUUUUGUAUAUGAGAAGGAAGGUGCAUUUUUAUGUCUCAGUUUAUAUUUUAGAGUCAGCAAACCAUGGACCAAUUAGGAACAAAUGUUAUGAUAUGAGAAUGCUGAUUCUUGUUUUUUUUUUUUUUCAUGAUAGACAUUCUAAGAAAAACUCUAGGCUCUCUCAUUGUUUUUGGAAUACAUACAUGGUCCUUUCCAAGUAGUUUCUUAGAAAAAUGUUUUUAAAAAGAGGCUUUUAAAAAGAGCCUUUUAAAAUGUUUUUAAAAGAAGGCUUUAUUUUUCUCUAUAGAAUGAAAACCAUGUAGCUGGUCUUAUUCUCUAAUCAUGAAGACCAUUAUUGUUAUUUGUGGACUAAGGAGCAGAAAGACUGAUAGUGGACAUAGGCCAGCUGAUUUAAUAAUUUAAGAAAGAACUGUUAUCCUGAGUAAGGAGCAUAGAGACAAAUAUAAAAUGAACGCACUCUACCUGAUUAUAGUCUUCUGGUGAAGAUCUUGCUGUUAUCUCUGUGAAUCAGGAGAGAAGAGAUUGAUAAGGAAUAGACGAGAUUGGAUUUGGUCAUUUCCCCAAGGUGAAGAGCAUGGCGAUUUCUUCUGUGGUAAGGAGCAAUAGUGAAGACCAUGGUUGAUUUAAUCAGUCUCUGCUGAUGAAGAUCUUGGCUGUUACCUUUGUGUGUAAGGAAGCUAAAGACUUAAGUAAAUAACAGUCCAAAAACUUGUCAAUUAGGAAUGAAUGCGCAGUGAUUCAAUUAUUCUCCAGCGAGGAAGAUCAUGGUUGUUGUCUGUUUGAGUAAUGAGUGUAGAAACCUACAAUGGAGGCGUGAUGGCUGAUGCAAUCAUUUUCCACUGAUGAAGGUUUUGAUGGCUACCUGUAAUGAACAGCCCCAUCUGAUUUAAUCACUGCAAUGACCGUGAACUGUACGGUUACCUCCGUGUGUCACAGGAAGACUCUUAAUGAACACCCUCAAGUUGACUUAAGCACCCUUCCAUGGUCAUGAGGUUUCUGGUUGCCUCUGUGUUAGAAGCUUGGAGACCAAUGCCUUCUGCUGUGAUCGCGUUCUCCACAGUUGCCUCUGGGUAGGAGCCUGGACACUAAUAGAAAAUGGAUGCACUUGAGCCGACCUAAGCAUUCAUGGUCAUGAGAUUUGUGGUUGCCACUGUUGGUUAGGAGCAUAGAGAUCAGUAAUGGACACACCUGGGCUGGCAGAACAUCUUGCCUUGAUCUGGAGCCCCAUGUCUGCCCCUCUGUAGAGGUGCACAUGGGCCAAUGAUGGAUGCAAUGAGCUGAUCAUUUUGCUGUGAUCAAGGCUAUGUUGCCUCUGUGUUAGGCCAAUAAUGGACGCACCUGAACUGACCUAUGCAUUUGCAAGCUCCACGGCUGUCCCAGUGUUUGGAGCAUGGAGACCGAUUUGAGUUAUAGUCACUGUUCUUGCCUUGGUUUUGGUGGCUUAUUUAGGAUACUUACUGAAUACUUUUUAAAAAAGUAUUAAAUAUAACCAAAGAAGGCCAACUGUGGCCCAAUGAUAAGUAUGGAUUUGACAUGAAAUAUUAUGUUGAUUGAUCAAUUUUUUGUAACAAUGGGAAUGAUUAAUGAAAGAGGUAUAUUCAGUGAUAUACACAUAUGUCACUAAAUGAAUGAUGUGAUUCCAUAGAUAGAUAUUAGGGAUAUAAGAAUCUCUUUUCAGUGAGAUUUUGUGAUUCACAGAUAAUUAUUUUAUUAUGUUUGAUGAAUUGAGAAUUAAUUAAUAAGCAAAUAUACAGUACUAUGAAGAAAAAGACAUGUAAACCUGAACCAAUGAUUAAUGGUUUAGGAGUCAUGGGUGAUGAAUAAUAUGUGUCUGGAACCUAAAGGUUUGCAGAAAACAAAAUCUGAUCUAUUUCCUAGGGUCAUUUGCAAAUGACAAUCAAUGUUUGAAAUGAUAGAUUGAUGUUAAUAAUGUGUAAGAAUCUACUUUUAUUUUGGAUUCAUGGAUUAAUAUAUUGUUAUUAUUUAAAAUUGAUCCAUGAUGAAGGUAUUAAACAAACAUAUAAUUCGACAAAUAUGAAGAUGGAGAGAUGGACUUCAACCAUGUGAUGAUUCAAGAUAUACGAUCAACAUAAAAUGAAACACUAGCUCCCAACAUGGUGAAACCCUGCCUCUAUUAAAAAUACAAAAAAUUAAAUGGACAUGGUGGUGCACGCCUGUAACCCCAGCUACUCGGGAGGCUGAGGCAGGAGAAUCACUUGAACUCGGGAGGUGGAGGUUGCCGUGAGCCAAGAUUGCGCCAUUGCACUCCAGCCUGGGCAACAAGAGCAAAACUCUGUCUAAAAAAAAAAAAAAAGAAAGAAAUGGACCCAAGGGUGUUACCUCUUUUUGAUUAGUGAUCAUAUAGAUGCUGGGUAGUAGGAAUUUUAUUGCUUGGAGCAGUCCUUUUGAGGUUGUUUGUUUUGUUCAGAAUGAACAUAUAUGUUAUGAAAAAUUAAUAAAUACCUAAAUUACUGGGAAAGCAAAGAUCGACAAAAAGGUCUUAGUUUUUAAAAUCAGCUGCUUUGCUUUGUAUUUCUUAGAAGGGAUGCACUGGCACUGAUUUAAGAAUUCUCUCAUAGUCACAAGACGUAUGGUUGCCUCUGUGUAGGUUCCUGGAAACCAAUGUGAGUAUGAGUCAAUAUUCUUGUUUUGGUUUGAGUGUUUUUUAAGAGGUAUCACUGUGUUAUUAUACACUUUGGCAUAUAAUUAGUUAAUGUCUUAAGAAUGGGAUUGAUGUAAUGCAUUAUGUUGAUUAAUCUGUAUGUGAAACACUGCAUUAAAUUAAUAAAAUGUAUCUAGUGUCUAUGGGAAAUAAUUUUGUAGACAGACAUUAGAUAUUCAAGAAUCUUGCUCUUGAGUUUUUCUGACUCUUUGGUAUUUACUUAUUCUUAUUAGUGAGUUGAUGAAUUAAUCUAUCAAUAAAUGAAGACAUGAAUGAAGAAAAAGAGCUCCAGGUCUGGACCAAAGACGAAGUUUGGUGAUGUAUGAAUUAUGAACAAUAAAUACCUGUGUUUGGAACUUUGAGGUCCAACAUGAAAACUAGUUUACUCCCUAUGAUGUAAUUGAUCCUAUAUAUAUAUGUAUUAGAAAUAGCAAAGAUCCGAUUGUGUUUCAUAGCUAUCGAUUAUAUCUUCAUAAGUUGAUUAGUGCACAAAUAACCAAAGAAACGUAUGAAUACACGAAGAAAAAUGGAACCAAGUAUGGACUAAGUAUGUCCUCUAUAAAGUUGCUCUUAGUUAGAAACAAAUUGUAGGAUUUUACUAGGGUCGGAUAGGCAUUUCUGUUCUAGAUUUCUGAAAAUGAAAAGAUUACUCAUUUUGUUGAAAAGGAAUAGAUGGUUGGAAAAAUUAAUUCGUUUGUUCCUGAAUUAUAAACUCAUUUAGACUAAUAAUGAAUGAGUUAAUAGAUAAAAAGGUCAAGAACUGACCACUCAUGAGACUGUGUUAUAAAGCCAGGAAUGAGAAGAAGCUGAUUCUGUAAAGCAAAGCUAACUUGCAGAGAAUAGCAAGACGAUUACAUGUUUGAGUGGCGGCACUGGGGCCAAUGUGUCCCAUAGUCAGAUGUUUUUCUUAAUGCAGGUGAUGGAUUCAAGAAUGUUCACUAUUGAUGUAAAAUUCAUAACUUAAAUAAUUCAAUAAAUAAAAGGAGAGUGAAUCUAAUCUAAGGAUGGGGAGUGUCGUGAACCAAUGUUUGAGAUGAACCUAACCCUGAUCAUUUCAUAUUUAUUCAGACACAGCCUGAAUCUUGUUGUUUCUUACCUGUAACAUCUACUUUGUACUUCGCAGAGUUGAUGUUCAUGGGUGAUUGAUCAUCCUGUAGCAACGGUGGUAUUGACUGUUCCCCAGAGGACAAGGAGUGUGUUCUUAUGUAAGUCAUAGUUGACAUUCUUGUUUUUGAUUGGGUAGUUUGCCUGUUCAUUGAUGUUCAUAGUACUAUAGAAGGUAGAUAAAUGGCCACAUACCUAAAGAAAAUCAAAGGAGACAAAAAGUGAGAGUCUGUUAUAAACUAAGGAUUAUAAUUAAUGUAAUUCAGUACAACUGUGGACAAUUUUGAAAAGAUAAAGAUUGAUGUCAUUUUAGUCAUUUUAUAGAUAAACUAAAAAUGGGACAUUUUUAACAUCCCAUUUUAGCAUUUUUCAUAGUUUACACAAACGUUCCUAUAUUGCUAGAUAGCCUAGUCUGUGAACUCCCUGAGGAAGGAGCACAUGUGAAGUAAAUACUUGUCAUUAUCAUAGUGGGUUCAAGUGGAAUAUUCUUCCGGCUUAUUGUUACAUCUUCAUAGACUAUAUAAUUGAAACAAAACGGUUCAAGCAUGGACCAUGACAUAACUGAAAUCAAAUCUAGACAAACAUGAUUAUUAUUAGAUUUCACAACAUUUUUGUAGUUCAUUACAAAAAAAGACCUAGCCUAUUAUAUUACCUUGUCUAUUAUCUCUCUUGGAAAUGAACCCAUUGACAGAUAUUAAGACUAUUCAAGAAACUUGCUUAGGGGCUAUGGUGGAUUGUUAACACAUACUAAUUUUAUUAUCAGUGGAUAAGUAUGCAUAAACAUCUUGUAAGUUAAUAUAGAUACAUAUGUCUAAGUGUGGUCUCAUUUUGAGUAUAUUUACUGGAACAAGAAUUAUUAUGACAUGUCUUAAAUGUUAUGAUCCAUUAAUAAAAAUAGACCAAGCUUGUGAUCCAAGUCAGUAACCUGCAUAUACACAUAUGUGAAUACUCAUUGUCUUUAUUUCUGGAGGUUUUUAGUUUAUACUUGUUUUUGUUUUCUCUUUUAGUAAAUUGAAAACAUUAUAUAAAUACAUAAAUCAAAACGUAGGUAAGGAAGUUAGAGGAAGCUAAGCAUGGACUACUUAUGAGGAUGUGUUUUUAAGCAGGGAUUAUAACUUAAUCCAUUUUAGUACAAUGGAGCACGAUUUAAAAAGAGAUCAGUGUUUUCCAUUCUCUUUUCAUAGCUAUGUAUUAUUCCAUUUUGGGUUUUACUCCUGUUUAUGCAACAUUCCUUGAUGGAUAACAAUCUAUGGGUUAGAUCCAAGGCUUAAAUUUUACGUAGUUGUGUUUUUGUAAGUCAUUAUCAGGGUUUUAGAUGUUGAAUGGGGUGAUGACUUGAUGGUUGUUCGUUGUUCCAUCUUAAACGUAUGUACAUGUUAAAUGAAGAAAAGGCCAAGCACCAGUCAGUGAUAUGAAUGGAUUGAUUGAUCAGUUUUAUGAUUAAAUUCAUUUCUGCACCCCUGCAAUUUAUUUAAAAGGGAGAUUUGGUAUAUUAAAUCUAUGGAAAUUUCAAUGGAGUGAUUGUCUCAUGCUUUUCACACCUGUCCUGUAUUCCACAGAAUGGACAUCAUGAUUGGGAUUGUCUUUAUUAAACUUUGUCAGGAGAGUAAAGAUCAAUGUGGCCACAUGUUGUGGCUCAUGCCUGUAAUCCCAACACUGUAAUCCCAGCACUGUAAUCCCAGGCUGUAAUCCCAGGCUGAGGUGGGCGGAUCACCUGAGGUUGGGAGUUCGAGACCAGCCUGACCAACAUGGAAAAACCCCGUCUCUACUAAAAAUACAAAAUUAGCCGGGCAUGGUGGCGCAUGUCCUUAAUUCCAGCUACUCAGGAGGCUGAGGCAGGAGAAACGCUUGAACCCGAGAGGCGGAGGUUGCAGUGAGCUGAGAUUGUGCCAUUGCACUCCAGCCUGGGCAACAAGAGUGAAACUCCAUCUCAAAAGAAAAAAAAAAGAAAACAAAACAAAAAAAGAAAAAACCAAUGUAAGUACCUGUUAAAGUUCUUGCUAUGGUUCCAGUGGUUUGUUUCCUAACUGUGUUAUUUAGAAAUUUGAAGUAUAUUUAAUGAAUGUCCUCCCUUCCCACUGGCCCUGCCAGGCAUGCUGCCAUCUGUUCUCUGGGACUUGUGAGUAGUACACUGCUCCUGUUAUUUCAUGUGCUUUGCUAAGUUGUUUCUUCUGUGUCUCAACUGAUCAACACACCCAGACCUAACUUAUUUCCAGGUUGGGGCUCUCCUAGAGAGUGCCUCUCUUGGUAGGAAUAAACUGGACACAGACAAGAGCCUCCAUGGUGUCUGCCUGUAUAACCAAGUUUUCUAUGAGAGGGACAAUGGGUCAUAGAUUGAACACUUGGGCAUUACAUCUGUGAGAAUAAGUCUACAGUAAAUUUCAGUAAUUUUGAGGGAUCUAAUUAUGGGGUUUCAGUAGAUCCUGGGGAUUUAUUGCAUUAUUCGAAGGAAAUAAAUGAAAGAAUCAGCAAAACAUACAGACACACAUAUAAAUAAUUAAAGAUGAAGAGGAUAAAGCUGGAUUAUUUGAGGAAAAUGCUAUCAGAUAGGAAUUUUUGGUUCUGUAAUUCUGAAACACUGCAAUGCAUUAAGAAACCUGUACAUCAAGGGUGUCACCUGUCUAGGGUAGGGUAAUAUAGAGUAGUCGUUCUCAAAUGCGAGCAUUGGAGUGACCUGGAGGGCUUGUAAAAUACAGAAGGUCACCUACAUUCUCAGGAUUUCUGAUUCAGUAGGUUUGGUGUGGGGUCUGAGAAUCUAAAUUUCUAAUAACUUAAUUUCUGUAGGUUCCAAUAGUUUCCCAAAUCAUGCUGAUGCUGCCUCCUGAGAAAUAUUUUCAGAAUCACUGAGAAAAAUGUAUGAAAUAGUUAAUGUCCUUGCUCUGUGUCAGUGGUAAGUUCCAGUUUGUUUAUUUUAUUGAGAAAGAGAAAGUAAUUAAUUAAUUAAGCAAUUAAUAUUUAUUUAUUUAUAUUUGAGAUGGAGUCUCACUCUGUUUGUUGCCCAGGCAGGAGUACAGUGACGCGAUCUCAGCUCACUGCAACCUCCACCUCCUAGGUUCAAGCAAUUCUCCUGCCUCUGCCUCCCGAGUAGCUGGGAUCACAGGCGUGUGCCACCACGCCUGGCUAAUUUUUGUAUUUUUAGUAGGGACGGGGUUUCACCAUGUUGGCCAGGCUGGUCCUGAACUCCUGACCUCAAGUGAUCUGCCCACCUCAGCCUCCCAAAAUGCUGCAAUUACAGGCAUGAGCCACUGCACCCCACCCAAUUAAUAUUUAAAAGUCUAAGUAAAUGAAAAGGGAACAACAUGGCUCAAUGGAGAAAUGUCUAAUUUAUAUAACAUCAUUGUUAUAUUGUACAAAAUGGAUGCACCUUAGGUGAGUUAAGCAUUCUGAAAAGACCAGGCUUUCUAGGAUACUGCUACAUUUUAGGAGAUUAGAAAUCAGUGGAAUUGGCACAGUCUUUGUCCGUUGAGUGGGUUUUCAUGGGUGUUCAUUGUACAUCUUUAAAAUGAGUGAAUGACCACAUACAUGAAUAAAAUCAAACAAGGACAAGCCUAUACUAAGGAUGAAGAACCAAAAUUUAGGAUUAAUUUGAUUUAGUGUUAUUUAGGAUGGUUUUUUAAAAAGAUCAAGUCCCUAUCACAAAUUGCUCUGUUUAGAAUUCUACUGCAGGUUUUCCCUAAGCAUUCCUCAAGUGAUAAAGAUGUAAGUUACGAAGAAGGGACACAUAGGAACUAGAAGCACUUAUCAGCGUUUUAUUCUGGUGGUUGAGUCGUGUUUAUGUAGAAAGAAUAUACAAAUUAUGUGAAAAAAGGCCAAGGAAGGACCAAUGAUGCGAGUGGAAUACAUUCUGAAAUGUGUUUUAUGAUCAAAAUAUCUGUGACCUACUGCGGUCCACUACAAAGAGGGAUUUAAGUGUUUACAUCUGUAGGAAUGCCUACAGAUAGAUUUCAGUGAUAUUCAGGAAUCAGGUUCUCAGUCUUUGGUGCUUCAUGGAUUUUGAUUUUGUUGUUAUUCAAUAAGUGAAAGAAUAAAUAAAUAUGCCAGUGUAUAAAAAUGAAUAGAAUGAAGUUAUCUAACUAUGAAAGUAUGGGGUGAGGCAAGAAUUAUUAUUAAUAUAACAUAGAACCACUGGAGUUCAGUAAGUAAUGCUAUCUUUACCCCAAAAUGUAACCCCUUAAUGCAUCAAAGGGGUUACAUUUUGGGGUAAGGAUAAGUAAGCAAGAUUGUGAUGUAUGUUCUUGCUUUGAGUCAGUGAUGAGUUCAAGUGGCCACUUACUGCAGAGGGAAAAAAAAUUAUGCCAUAAAAUAAUAAAUACCUAAAUGACUGAGCAAAGGAAAUGGGGAAGGCAUGUAUCAGUGGAAAGAAUAUCUCAGCUUUCUGUUAUUUGCAGUGCUUAUAUUCCUCAGAAUGAAAGCUCCUAGCUGAUUUAAGCAUUCUACUGUGGCCAUGAACUCUUAUGUGUUAGGAGCAUAGAAACCAAUGUAAGAGUCAAAGCACUUGUCUUAGUAUGAGUGGCUUGUUUAAAAAUAUUCACUGUACUGUUUACAAAAUGUUUAGUCAAAGAAGUUGACUAUGGUGUACUAUGGCAUUGAAAUGAAAUGUAUGUUCAUUAGUGGAUAUGUACAACACAAAUUAAUUAAUGAAGGUUAUAUUUGCUGAGUGAAUUUACUCUGUAGACAGUUAUGGAUACUUAAGAAUACUGUUCUGUGGAAUUUGUGGUUCAUGUACAUUUAUUUUAUUGUAAUUAAUCUAUUGAAGAACUAAUAAAUCAACAAAUAUAGAAAUGGAUGAGGAAAAAGAUGUCAAAUCCUGAACUAGUGGUGAUGGCUUGUGGCAUAUUUAGUCACAGAUGAUGAAUAAAUACAUGCCUGAGACUCUGAGGUUAGUACCUAGACAGAGAUCUAGUCUGUUAUUUUUGAUGGAUGCAGUCAUGUAGGAUGAUUAGUUAUACACAAAGGUGAUGUUCUUGGACUUUUGUAGUUCAUGAAUUUUGAUUGUAUUGUUACAAAGCAAUCAAUGACAAAAUUUAUACAAUUGCAUGAAGAUGAAGAGGGUGAAACAUUGCCCAAUUAUGAAAUAUGAGGUGAGGCCUGAAAUACUAUUAAUAUAAUUUGAAAGUCCUAAGGUCCAUAAGUAAAUAAGUGGAUCAAGGGUGUCACCUCUUUUGUACAGUAUCAUAUAGACCAGGGGUCCCUAAACUCAGGGCUGUGGACCAGUAUCAGUGCCUGGUGUGUUAGGAACCAGGCCACACAGCAGGGAGUGAGUAGCAGGGGAGCAAGCAUUACCACCUGAGCUCCACCUCUUGUCAGAUCAGUAGUGGCAUUAGAUUCUCAUUGGAGCAGAACCUGUUGUGAGUGGUGCAUGCCAGGGAUCAAGGUCACAUGCUACUUAUGAGAAUCUAAGGCCUGAUGAUCUGAGGUAGAACAGUGAUCUGGAAACCACCCCUCCCUGCCCUGGUCCGUGGGAAGAUUCUCUUCUACAAAACCCAUCCUGGGUGCCAAAAACGUUGGGGACCAUUGGUAUAGACAGUGAUAGGUAACAGUCAGUGUUAUUGUUCUGCAUCAAUGGCAAGUACCAUCCUGUCCUAUUUUUAGAAGAGACAAAUAAUAACAUCAAUUAGUAAACAUUUACGUGAAUAAAUAAAUGAAAGUUGGAAAGCCAUUGUCAAUGGAGAGAAUGUCUCAACUUUUUAAUCACUGGUUCUCCUUUAUAUUCCUCAAGGUGGAGGCUGUCUGCAGUAGGAGCAUGGAGACCAACGUGAGUAACAAUCACAUUUUAUGUCUUGGUUUGCGUGGUUUAUCUAAGGGUAUUCAUUAUAUAAUGGCAUAUGAAAUAUCAAACAGGGCCAAAUGCGCCCCAGUAAUGAAGUUGGGAUUGAUGUAAAUUAUGUUCUUUGAUAUAUAUAAAACAUUGAGGCUUUCUGUAUCAAUCAAGUUUUAUUUUCUGGGUUCGUUGCAAGUUUGACAUUGUUCCUGUUGUUGAGACAGAGAGAAAGAAUACACAUAUAUAAUGAAAAAUUAAUAAAUAAGUCAAUGAAAUUUGGAAAGGAGGGAUAAAUACAGAUAAGGUCUUCAUUUUUUUCAUCACAUGUUCUGCUUUGUAAUCCUAGAAUGGAUGCUCUUAAACUGAUUUAAGCACGCUUCCAUGGUCAGAAGCCUUAUGGUUGCCACGGGGUAUUAGGAGCAUGGAGACCAAUGUGAGUAAUCAUCAAAGUUUGCUUCUUGGUGUGGGUUGUUUGCUUAAAGGUAUUAUUAUUCACUCACUGUAUUAUUGAAAAGAGUGAAUUAUAAUCAAAGAAGACCAAUUGUUGUGCAGUGACAAAAUUGAUAUAAAGCACUAUAUAAAUUAAUGGGUAUAUGAAAAACUGAAGAUAAUUAAUAAAGGAGAGAUGAUGACAUAAGAUGACUUUAUAUACAGACUAGAAAUAUCAAGUUUCUCCUUGGGUUUUGUGAAUAUAGGGCUUUAAAAUUAUUAGUGAACGAAUUAACUAAUCAAUGGAUAAUGUGGAAGUGAGAGGAGAAAAAGAGAACCAAUCCUGGAUUGAUGAUAUGAUGGCCACUGGUGGCUUAUGAGUCUUAUACAGUGAAUACGUGUUUGAAACUCUGAGGUCUGUUAGAGAAGAUACAUGGCCCAUUCUCUCUGUUUCAAAUGAUGCUACAGAAAUAAUUCAGAAAUGUUUUUAUUUGUGAUAAUUUCAUUCUAUUUUUAUAAUUGGAUCAAUGUGAGAAUCAAUAAAUAAGUAUAUAAAUAAAGAUAAAGUGGAUGAAGCAUUGUUCAGGUAUGGCAGGAUGUAUUAUUAAUAUGUAUUGAAAACAGUGGCGUCCAAAGAGAAAUAAAUGGUACAUGCCUGUCACCUCUUUGGACAAUGAUGACAUAGUUAGUAUAAUUAUAGACAAUGUUCAAUUUUUUGGUUAGCGGCAAGUUCAAAAUUGUUCAUUUUCUUAAGAGAAAAUGAAAUAAGUAUACUCCAGAAAAUUACUGCCUAAAUGACCAACUAAAUGAAAGGUGAAAGGCAAAGAUAAAUGGUGAUAAUGUCUCAAAUUUGUUAUCAUCAUCUCUGCUCUGUACUCCUCAGAAUGGACGUAGUUGUACUGUUUUAAGAAUUCUUCCAUGGUCCUCUGUUUGCACCGUGCUUAGGAAGGAGCAUGCAGACCCAUGUGAUUAAUGAUCAAAGUUCUUGUCUUGGUGGUUUGUUGAAGAGUAUGUCAUGUAUUAUAAAACAGUUUGUAAUAGGCUGGGUGCAGUGGCUCAUGCCUGUAAUCCAAGCACUUUGGGAGGCUGAGGGGGGUGAAUCACCUGUGGUCAGGAGUUUGAGAUCAGCCUGGCCAACGUGGUGAAACCCCGCCUCUACUAAAAAUACAAAAAUCAGCUGGGUAUGGUGGUGGGUGCCUGUAAUUCCAGCUACUCAGGAGGCUGAGGGAGGAGAAUCACUUGAACCCGGGAGGCGGAGGUUGCAGUGAGCCGAGAUUGCAUCAUUGCACUCCAGCCUGGGCGACAGAGUGAGACUCCAUCUCAAAAAAAAAAAAAAAAGUUUAUAAUACAGAGACGGCCAAUGUUAUUAUCCCAAUGAUAGAUAUGAGAGUUAUAUAAAGUAUUAUACUGAUAAUGCAUAGAUGAAAAACUGAAGACAAUUAAUAAAACAGAUAUAUCAAUGUUAGAAUGAUUCUAGAUGCAGAUAUGGAACAUCCAGGUUAUUCUUGGGGUUUUUUUUGAACCAUAGGGACUUAUUAGUGAGUUAACAAGUCAGUCAGUGAACAAGAUAGAAAUGAGUGGAAAGAGGUGAUCAAUCUUGGAUCGAUGAUGACUGCUGGUGGCGUAUGAGUCUUACAUGAUGAAUACGUGUCUGGAACUCUGAGGUCCAUCACAGAAGAAAUAGAGCUCCUUCCAUAUGUUUGAAAUGAUCCUAUGUGUAUAGAUGUCAGAGAUACAGAAUUUAUUUGUUUAUGACCUUUGUUUUUACUUAUUUUCAUUGCAUUUUUAUAGUUGCUCAAUGUGAGAACCUAUAUAUAUAAUUUAUAUAUAUUAUAUAAAAAGAUGAAUAAUGUUAAUCAUUGCCCAAUUAUUAAAAUCUGUAGUGAGGCAAGAAACAUUUCAUGUGUAUUGAAAACAUGAAGUCCCAAGAGAAAUAAAUGGGACAUGCCUGUCACCUCUUUGGCCAAUGAUGAUAUAGCCAGUAUAAUUAUAGAGAGUGUUCAGAUUCUGGGCCAGUAGCAAGAUUGAAAUUGUUCAUUUUCUUAACAGAAAAUGAAAUUACUAUGAUUAAUGAAAUGAAAUUUCCUUAACAGAAAAUGAAAUUAAUAUGAAGUCCAAAUAACGAUUGCAUAAAUGACUAAUUAUAGGUGAAAAGCAAGAAACAAUGGUGACAAUGUCUCAAAUUUGUUUUCAUCUUCUCUUCUCUGUACUCAUCAGAAUGGAUGUCCUUGUUCUGAUUUGAGGAUGCCUCCAAGGUCACAUACUCUGUUUGCACCACGCUUAGGAAGGAGCGUGAAGACCAAGGGGAGUAAUAGUCAAAGUCCUUACCUUCGUUUGGGUGAUUUGUUUAAGAGUAAUCAACGUAUUAUUUAAAAGUGUGAAAUACAGUCAAAGAUGGCCAAUGUUAUUCCAGUGAUAUGGGAGUGACAUGAAGUAUUAUAUUGAUGAUGCAUAUAUAAAAAACAGGAUAGUUAAUGAAACACCCAAUGUUUGAGUGAUUCUGUAUACUGAUAUGGAAUAUCAAGAGUGUUACUGGGUUUUGUGAAUCACGGGCCUUGAAAGUAUUAUUAAUGAAUAAAUGACAUAAUCAAUAGACAAGGUAGAAAUGAAUAGCAAAAAAAAAGAAGAUCAAUGAUGACUACUGGUAGUGUAUGAGUUACACAUGAUGAAUACAUGUCUGAAACUCUGAGGUCCAUCACAAAAGAAAUCUGGCCCAUUCCUUCUGAUUCAGGUGAUCCUAUGAAUAUACAAUGUGUUUGCUUUUGGUCUUUGGGUUUGUUCACUUCAUUGUGUUAUAAUUGGAUCAAUGAAAUAAUUUAUACGUAUACAUGUACGUAUAUGAAGGGGAUGAAGUAUUGUCCAAUUAUAAAAUAAGUGGCGAGGCAAGAUGUAUUAUUAUUAUUAUAUUAAAGCAUUAUAUUCAAGCUUUAAUAUAUUAAAUAAAAAUCUAAUAUUAAUAUAUAAUUAAUGCAAUAUUUAAUAUAUAUUAAAUAUAAUAAUAUAUUAAAAUAUUAUAUUAAAGCAUUGAAGUCCUAAGGGAAAUAAAUGUUACCCCACUGUAACGUCUUUGACUAAGGAUGAUACAGGUGGUAUUUAUAGAUAAUGGUCAACCUCUGGGUCAAGGAAAGUUGCACAAAGUGUUCAUUUUCUUAAGAGAAAAUGAAAUAAUUAUCCUUCAGAUAAUGAUUUCUCAAAUGUUUUCCUAAAGGGAAGAUGAUAAACACAGAUCAUGGAGGACUGUUUCAUCUGUUUGUGAUCUGCCGUCCUCUGUGAGCCUCAGGAUGGAUGUUUGCCAGCCGAUUCCAUGGUUACAAGCUCUAUAGCUGCAUCUAUGUGUUAGGAACAUGAAGACCAAUAAUGGAUGCACUGAGCUGAUUAUGAAUUUAGCCCUGAUCAAGACUUGUGUUGCUGUCAUGAUAUGAAAGAUUCCAGUGUGAGUAACAGCCAAGUUCUUGUGUUGUUUGGGUGGUUUGUUUAAGGAUAUUUACCAUGUUACUGAAAAUAAAAAAAGUCAAAUAAUGUGUAUGUAUAUAUAACGAAUAUCGGUGAUAGAAUUGAAUUAUGUGAACCAUAAAAUUUUUAUAAUUAUUACACAUGAAUUACUGAAUUAAUCAACAAAUAAUGUCGAAUUGCAUGAAUAGAAAGUGGGCCCUUCCUGGACCAAUGAUGACAAAUACCGGCGUAUGAGUCUUGGAUGAUGAAUAAUACGUGUCUGGAACUCUGAGGUCCAUCACAAAAGAAAGCCAGUUCUUUCUGCUCAUGUAUUUUCAUUCUGUUAUUAUAAUUGGAUCAAUAAAAGAAUGAAUCAACAAAUAUAUAACUAAAUAAAGUAGACUCGUGUGAAGCAUUGUCCAAUUAUAAAAAUAGACGAUGUGGCGAGAAGCAAUAUUAUUAAUUAUUAAUUAAUUAUUAAAUUUAAUUAUUUAAUUUAUUAAUAUUUAAUUAUUAAUUAAUACAAUAUUAAUAUGUACUGGAAACUGAAGUCCAAAGAGAAAUAAAUGGUACAUGAUUAUUAAAUCUUUGGCUAAGUAUGAUGUAGACAGUAAUAGGUAAAUAUCUGUGUUGAGUUUCUGGGUCAAUGGCAAGAUUGACAUUGUUAGCCUACAUAGGAGAAAAAUAAGCAUUAUUACAAAUUACUAAUUAUGUAUGACUGACUAACUGGAAAGAGGAAUUGAAGGACCAGUGCAAAGAAUGUUACAACCUUUUAAAAUCAUUUGCUCUGCUCUGUGAUCCUCAGAAUGAACGCACUUGAGUUGAUUCAAGCACGCUUCCAUGGUCAUGAGCUCUGUGGUUGCAUCUGUGUGUUAGGAGCAUGCAGACCAAUGUGAGUAGUAAUCAGUGUUCUUAUACCAAAUCCAGCAGUUUUUAGAAUGGUAUUUGCUGCAUUAUUUUAGAGUUUUAAAUAUAAUCAAAUAAGAGAAGUCUGCCCAUGUUCAAUAUCACAUUGAUAUGAAGCAUUUAUACUGAGUAAUGCAUCUAUGCAAAAGCUCAGUUGAUGAAAGAAAUUUGGUCUCUGUGGAAAGGAUUAUAUAGAUGGAUGUUAGGGAUAUUCAGAAUAUAAUUCUUAUUUUUCUUUUCAGAUUUUUGUGUAUUUCUUUGUUAAUACAUUAAUAAAUAAACAAAUUUAGAUGGGAAUAGAGAAAGAGGGCUGAUCCUGGACCAGUGAUGACCACUGGUGGCAUAUGAGUCAUGCACAUGAAUACCAUGUUUCUAGAACUCUGAGGUCCAACACAAAUGGGAUCUAGUCCAUUCCUCCUUUGUGAAGGGAUCCAAUGGACAGAUAUCUGGAUAUGCAAGGAUCUUUUUCGGGAUUUUAGCGUUAGUAUUUAAAAAAUAUUAUUUUAAAAUAAUCAAGGGCAGGAUAAAUAAAUGAAUGUAUAAAUGAACAGAAAUGAAGAGAGUGAAGCAUUGUUUAUUGCUAAAAUAUGUAAUAAAGAAAAUGGAUUAUUAGUAUAAGUUAGAAUGGAUAAUAUAUGGAUCGAGUUUAUUAUGUCUUGGAUUAAAGAUGAUGUCAACUGUGAUGGAUAAUAGUUAUUACUCUCAGUUACAUGUUUGAAGUUCAUUUUAUUGAGAGAAAAAUAAGCAAAUAUUCCUAUAAAUUGUUAUUAUUAUUGUUACUUUGAGAUAGAGUUUUGCUCUUGUCGCCCAGGUUGGAGUGCAGCGGCACAAUCUUGGCUCACUGCACCCUCCGCUUCCUGGGUUCAAGUGAUUCCCCUGUCACAGCCUCCCAAGUAGCUGGGAUUACAGGCACCCGCCACCACGCCUGGCUAAUUUUUUUGUUUUUAGUAGAGAUGGGGUUUCACCGUGUUGGCCAGGCUGGUCUCGAACUCCUGACCUCAGGUGAUCCACCCACCUCAGCCUCCCAAAGUGCUGGGAUUACAGGUGUGAGCCACUGCGCCUGGUCCCAUAAAUUAUUAAAAACCAAAAAGAUGAUACAAACGAAUAGUGGAAUAUAUCAGUCAGUGGAGAGAAAUUCUCCAUUUUUUAUCAUCUUCUCUGCUUUGUGUGAAGAUGAAUCAGAAUGGAUGCAUCAAGUGGGCUUCUGCUUGAUGGAAACCUGUAUUGCUGUUGCGUUUGGAAAGAAACUAAUGUGAGUAAUAGCCAAAAUUUUUGUCUUCCUUUGGGUACUUGUCGAAAGGUAUUCACAGUAUUAUUAAAAAUUUUAAAUUAUUAUAAAAUUAACCAUGGCCCAAUGGUUAACAUAAUAUAGAACAGUAUGUUUAUUAAUCAGUAAUGUGCCACACAGAGGUGAAUGAACGAAAGUGACAUUGUCUAAUGUGGAAAAGGAUUCUGUAGACAGAUGCUUGGUCUGUCUGGCAUCAUGUUCAUAGGUUUUUGUGAAUCAUAUUCUUAUUUUACUCUUAUAAAUUGAUUAAUGAUUUAUUCAAAACAAAGGUAGAAAUGAGUGAAAAUUGAGACCAAUGAUGGUGUGAGCCAUAUACAAUGAGUAAAACAUGUCUGGACUUUUUUUAUUAAUCAAUAAACAAUGUAGUAAAGAAUGAAGAGAAAGCGGGCCUUCCUGGACCAAUGAUGACAACUGCCGGCGUAUGAGUGUUGGGUGAUGAAUAAUACGUGUCUAGAACUCUGAGGUCCAACAUACAAAACACCUCAAUAAGCAAGGAUCAGUGGAGGAAUAUCUGGUUUAAAAAAAAAUCAUCUUCUCUUUUUUGUACUCCUCAGAGUGAUAAUCUCGAGGUGAUUUAUGCAUUCUUCCAUGGCCACCAGCCUUAUGGUUGCAUCUGUGCGUCACAGCUUAGAGAUCAAUAAUGGAUGCAACAAGCUGUUUGAACCAUUCUGUUGGGAUCAAGAUUGUUGUGUUGCCUCUGUUUGGAAAGAGACCAAGAAUGGAUACGCUCAGGUGAUUUAAGCAGUCUUCCAUGGCCACGAGCUCUGUGGUUGCCUCUGUAUAUUAAGAGCACAGAGAUUAAAAAUGGACCCACUCAAGCUGACUUCAGAAUUCCUCCUUGGUCACAAGCUUUUUGAUUGCAUGUCUGCAUUAGGAGCCUAGAGAACAAUAAUGGGUGCACUUGAGCCGAUUGAAACAUUCCUCCUUGCAUCUUUCUUCUGUGAUUGCAUCUAUUUGUUAGUGGCAUAGAGACCAAUAAUGGACAUCCUUGUUCUGUCUUGAGAAUUCCUCUAGGGUCACGUGCUCUGUUUGCACCGUGCUUAGGAAGGAGCGUGCAGACCAAUAAUAGAUGGCUUGUGCUGAUGGAAGGAUUCCUCCCUGGUGACAUGCUGUGUCUGCCUCUUGAUUGGGAGCACGCAGACCUACAAUGAUGCACUUUUUAUGAUUUGAGAAUUCCUUCGUGGUCACGUGCUCUGUUUUUAUCAUGGUUGGGAGCCUGCAGAGCAAUGUGAGUAGUAAUCAACAUUCUUAUCUUGGCCCGAAUGGUUUGUUUAAGAGGACUCAGGGUAUUAUCAAAAAGCCUAUAAUAUAAUCAGAAUGGUCAACUGUAUCUAAGUGAUAGAAAUUGGAGUGAUAUGAAGCAUUAUAUUGAUAAUGCAUAUAUGAAAAAUUGAGGGUAAUGAAACAGAUAUAUCGAUGUUAGAAUGAUUCCAUGUACAGAUUGGGAAUAUCAAGACUCUUCUUGGAGCUCUUUGAAUCAGACUCUUUAAUGUUGUUAUUAGUGAAUUAGUAAAUUAAUCACAAAAAUAUAGGCAUGAAUUGAGAAAAGGAAGACCAAUCCUGGGUCGAUGAUGACUACUGGUGGCGUGUGAGUCAUAGACAAUGAAUACGUGUCUGGAACUCUGAGGGCCAUCGUCCGUCACAAUGGAAAUGUAUACAUUCCUUCUGUUUAAAAUGAUGUUAUAGACAGAUUUCAGAAAUAUAGAAUGUACUUAUUUUUCUUGGGGGUUGUGUAUUUUUAUUCUCUUUUUAUAAUUGGAUCAAUGAAAGUAAUCAAUAAGAUAUAAAUAAAAUGGCACAUAGUUUAAUAAUAAAAAUAUCUGGUGAAGCAGGAUAUUCUAUUUAUAUAUUAAAAACAGUGAAGUCAAAAGAUAAGUAAUGGUAUUAUUUGUCAUCUAUUGGCUAAUUACGGUAUAGACAUUAUAAAUUAUAGAUAAUAUGUGUGUUCUGGGUCAGAGGCAGGGUGAAAAGCCAGGAUCAGUAGUAGGAAUGUCUCAUAUUGUUAUCAUCUUCUCUGCUCUGUACACCUCAGAAGGGACAUGCCUUUGCUGGUUUGAGGAUUCCUCUGAGGUUGGGAGCUAAGUUUGCAUCAUGCUUAGAAAGGAGUGUGCAGACCUGUAAUGAUUGCACUUUGCUGAUUGAAGGAUUCCUUAAGUCCAUGUGCUCCACUUGCACCAUUUUUAGGAUGGAGCCUGGAGACCUAUGUAAGUAAUAGUGGAAGUCCUCACCUUGUUUUGGGUGGUUUGUUCAAGAGGGUUCAAUGUAUUAUAAAAAGGUGUAUAUUAUAAUCAAAGAUGAGCAAUUGUAUUUAAAUAAGCAUGGGCCUGAUGUGAGGAUUAUAUUGAAGAUGUAUACAUGAGAAACUGAAGAUAAUUAAUAAAAUAAAUAUUCCUAUAUGUUAGGAAUAUCAUGGCUAUUCUUGUGGUUUUGUAAAUUGUAGGGCCUAAAGUUAUGGUUAGUGAAUUAACAGAUUAGUCAAUAGACAAGGAGGAAACGAACCCAAAAAUAGAAGAUCAGUCCUGGAUCGAUGAUGACUACUGGUGGCGUAUGAGUCUUUUGCGAUGAAUACGUGUCUAGAACUCUGAGGUCCGUCACAAGCAAAAUCUAGCCUAUUCUGUAUGUUUGAAAUUAUUUUACAGACAGCUGUUCAGGAGUAUAGAAUGUAUAUGUUUUUGGUAUUCAUGUUUACAUGUUUUGAUUCUAUUUUUAUAAUUGAUCCAUAUGAGAAUUAAUAAACAAAUACAAAUAAAGAUGAAUAAAUUCGAGCAUUGUCCAAUUAUCAAACUAAGGGACAAGAUAAGAAACACAAUUAAUGUAUAUGAAACAGUGACAUCCACAGAGAAAUAAACAGUACAUUCCUGUGGCUUCUUUGGCUAAUGAUGGUAUAGACAGAAUAAAGUAUAGGUAAUGUUCAACUUCUGGGUCAGUGACAGUUUCAAAAUUAUUCAUUUUAUUUUCAGAAAAUGAAUUAAAUAUAGUCCAAAUAAUGAUUGCAUGAAUGACUAACUAAUGAUAGUUGAAAAGCAAAUAUCAAUAUUGAAAAUGUCUCAAUUUUGUCAUUAUCUUCUCUGGUCUGUAUUCCUCAGAAUGAACAACUUGUGCUGUGUUAAGGAUUCCUCCAUGAUCACGCGCCCCAUUUGUUCACCAUGCUUGGGAAGGUGCAUGCAGACCAAUGUUAGUAAUAGUCAAAAUUCCUGUGUCGGUUUGUGUGGUUUGCUAAACAGGACUCAAUGUAUCAUGAAACAGUGUAUUAUAUAGUCAACGAUGGUCAACUAUGUCCCAGUGAUAUUUAUGAGAGGGAUCUGAAGUAUUUAUUGAUAAUGCAUAUAUGAAAAACGGAGAAGAAUUAAUGAAACAGAUAUAUCUGUGUUAGAAUGAUUCUGUAUAAAGAUAGGGAAUAUCAAGUCUGUUCUUAGUGUUUUGUGAAUCACAGAGUGUAAAAUUAUUCCCAGUGAAUUAAUGAAUAAAUUUAAAGAUAACAUAGAAAUGAAUGCAGAAAAAGAGGGUCAACCCUGGAUCGAUGAUGAGCACUGGUGGAGUAUGAGUCACAUACGAUGAAUACGUGUCUGGAACUCUGAGGUCCAUCGCAGAAGUCAGUUUCCUCUGUUUCAAGUAACUCUGUAGAUAGAUGACAAGAAUAGAGAAUGAAUUUCUUUGUUUAUGAGUUUUUAUUUUAUAAUUGGUUCAAUGAAAGAAUAAAACAUAUAUGAAUAAAUAAAUGAGUUAUGCAUUGUCCAAUUAUAAAAAUGUGUGAUGAGGUGUAUUUAAUACGUAUUUAAAUUGAUGAAAGCCAAAAAUAAAUCUAACAUACCUAACCUUUUUGGCCAAUAAUGAAGAGAUAGUAUAAAUUAUAUGCUAUUUUCGUGUUCUGGGUUAGUGGCAAGUUCAAAGUUGUUCAUACUUCAAAUAACGAUUGCCUAAAUGUUUAACUACAGAUAGGUAAAAAGGAAAGAUCAACAAUGAGAAAAAUCACAUUUUUGUUAUUAUUUUCUCUGCUCUGCACUCAUCAGAAUGGACGUACUUGUGAUGAUUGAAAGAUGCCUCCAAGGUCACAUGCUCUGUUUGCACCAUGCUUAGGAAGGAGCGUACAGACCAAAAAUGGAUGAAUUGUGCACCUUGAAAAGUUCUUCCAUGGUCACCUGAGGCAUCUGCAUCAUGAUUAGGCUCCGGAUGACUAAUGUGAGUAAUAGUUAACAUUUUUUACUUCCUUCUGGUGCCAUUUUAAGAGGACUCAUUGUAUUAUAAAAAGUGUAUGACAUUAUCAAAGAUGUCCACCUGCAUCCCAGUGAAAGAUACGGAAAUGAUGUGAAGCGUUGUAUUGAUAAUGCAUAUAUAAAAACCUGAGGAUAGUUAAUUAAGAGGUGUAUCAAUGUUGGAAUAAUUCAGUAUACAAAUUAGGAAUAUUAAAGUUAUUCUCAGGAUUUUUUUGAACCAUAAAGUCUUAAAAUUGCUAUUAGUGAAUUAACAAAUCAAUCCAUAGGGUAGAAAUGAAUAGAGAAAGAGAUGAACAAUCCUGGAUCGAUGAUGACUGCUGGUGGCGUAUGAGUCAUAUGCGAUGAAUACGUGUCUAGAACUCUGAGGUCCAUCACAGAAGAAAUCUAGCUCAUUUUCUGUGUUUGAUAUAAUCCUUUAGACAGGCAUCAGGAAUAUUAGAUGAGUUUGGUUUUAGUCUUUGUAUUUACAUGUUUUAAUUCUAUUUUUGUAAUUGGCCAAUAUAAAAACCAAUAAACAAAUGUAUAAAUAAAGAUGAGUAAGGUUAAUCAUUGUCCAGUUGUAAAAAAUAUUUGGUGAGGCAAGAAACACUAUUAAUAUGUAUUGAAAAUAGUGAAGUCUGAAGAGAAGUACAUGUACAUGUCUGUCACCUCUUUGGCUAUGGUGAUAUAGACAGGAUAAUUAUAGACAAUGUUCAAAUUCUUGGUUAAUUGUAAGCUUGAAAUUGUUCAUUUUUUAAAGAGGAAAUGAAAUAAGUUUACUCCAAAUAAUGAUAGCUUAGAUGACUAACUAAUGAUAGGUGAAAAGCAAGGAUUGAUAGUUAAAAUGCCUCUCUUUUGUUAUUAUCUUCUUUGCUCUGUACUUAGAAUGGACGUACUUGUUCUGAUUUGAGGACUUCUUCAUGGUCACGUGUUCUGUUUGCACCAUGCUUAGGAAGGAGCAUGUGUACCAAUGUGAGUGACAGUCAGAUUUCUUGCAUUUCUUUGGGUGGUUUAUUUAAGAGGACUCAAUGUACUGUGAAUAAACAUGUAAUAUAAUCAAAGAUGGUGAAUUUUAUCUAGUGAGGGAUAUUGGAGUCAAAAGAAGUAUUAUAUUGAUAAUUCACAUAUGAAAAACAGGAUAACUCAUGAAACAUUAAUAUAGGAAUUAUUUGGGAUAUCUUUUUGGGUUUUGUGAGUCACAAGGUUUAAAGUUAUUAUUAGUAAAUUGAUGAAUUAAUCAACAGACAAUGUAGAAAAUAACAGAGAAAAGAAGGGCCAAUCCUGGAUUGAUGAUGACUACUGGUAGCAUGAGUCAUAUACAGUGAAUACAUGUCUGGAACUCUGAGGUCUGUCUCAAAAGAUACCUAGUCUAUUUCCUGUUUCAAAUGAUCCUACAGACAGAUGGCAAAAAAUAGAAUGUAUAUGUGUUUGGUUUUCAUGUUUAUGAAUUUUUAUUUUACAUUUAUGAUUGGCUCAAUGAGAGAAUCAAUUAAUAAAUAUACAAAUAAAGAUGAAUAAGGGCUGGGCAUGGUGGCUCACACCUGUAAUCUCAGCACUUUGGGAGGCCAACACGGGUAGAUCACUUGAGGACAGGAGAUCGAGACCUACCUGGCCAACGUGACGAAACCCUAUCUCUACUAAAAAUACAAAAAUUAGCCAGGCAUGGCGGCAUGUGCCUCUAAUCCGAGGACUUGGGUGGCUGAGGCACAUGGAUUGCUUGAACCCGGGUUUCAAAAAUUGCUUGAACCUGGGAGGCUGCAGUGAUCCGAGAUCACGUCACUGCAGCUUGGGCAACAGAGCAAGAUACUGUGUCAAAAAGAAAAAAAUAAAAAGGAUAAGAUUAAGCAUUGUCCAACUAUAAAAAUAUGUGGAAAGACAAAAAACACUAUUAAUACAUACUGAAAUUGGUAACAACUAAAGAGAAAUCUUGCAUACCUGUUACCUCUUUGAAUGAGACAGACAGUAUAAAUUUUGACCAUAUUCAAGUUCUGGGUCAGGGACAGUUCCAAAGCUCUUUAUUUUCCCUUCCUUUCUUCCUUCCUUCCUUCCUUUCUUUCCUUUCUUUCUUUCUCUCUCUCUCUCUCUCUUUCUUUCUUUCUUUCCUUUCUUUCUCUCUCUCUUCUUUCUCUCUCUUCUUUCUUUCCUUCCUUCCUUCCUUCCUUCUUUCUUUUUGAGAUGGAGUCUCGCUCUAUCACUUAGGGUGGAGUACAAUGCCACGAUCUCAGCUCGCCACAACCUCUGCCUCAUGGGUUCAAGCAAUUCUUGUGCCUCAGCCUCCCUAAUAGCUGGGAAUGCAGACGCGUGCCAUCAUGCCUGGCUAGUUUUUGUAUUUUUAGUAGAGAUGGGGUUUCUCCAUGUUUCCCAGACUGGUCUUGAACUCUUGACCUCAAGUGAUCCACCUGCCUCUGCCUCCCAACAUGCUGGGAUUACAGGCAUGAGCCACCACAUCUGGCCAGUUAUUCAUAAAAAAAUGAAGUAUACCUCAAAUUAAUGAACAUACAAAUGAGUAUAAAUGUUUACACAUUUAUUAAUUUGAGGUAUAUUUGAAAAGCAAGGAUCAAUGGAGAGAAGGUCUCAUUUUUGUUGUCAUCUCUUCUGCUCUGUACUCAGAAUGGAAGCACAGAAGCUGGUUUUCACUAGUCAAGAGCUGUAUGGUCCAUCUCUGUGCUAGAAGCUGGAGACCAAUGUGAGUAAUAGUCAAAGUUCUUGUCUCAUCUUGGGUGUUUUGUUUAAAGGUUUAUAGUGCAUUAACAAAAAAUAUGAAAUAUAAUCCAAUAAGGCCAUGAGUAGCCCAGGGAUAAAUAUGGAAUGGAUGUGGAAUGUUACACUGAGGGAUGCUUGUAUGAAAAGCAUGUCCUGUAUUAUUAAGAAAGGUAAUAAUGAGGGGAUAUGGUAUUGUGAGGAUGAGUGUAUAUACAAAUUAGAGAUAUCAAGGCUCCUCUUGGGGUUUUGUGAGUGAUAGUGUUUAAAAGUUAUUAAUGGUGAAUCAAUGAAGUAAUAAAUAAUGUAACAAUGAAUGAAGAGCACCAGAGCUAAUCCUGGAUCAAUCAUGACUACGGGUAUUGGAUGGGUCUUCGUCAGUGAAUGCCUGUCUGGAACUCUGAGGUCCAUCAGAAAAGAAAUAUAGUGUUUUCCCUCUUUUGGAAGUGAUCCUAUAGACAGACGUCAGGAAUAUGCAAGGGUCUUGUUUUUGCUCUUUGUGAGCACGAGUUUUCAAUCUAUUAUUAUAAUUCAAUCAAUGAAGGAACCACUAAACAAAUAUACAAAUAAAGUAUGUUGGAUGCGACUAAGCGUUCUCUAACUGUAAAAAUAAUUUGUGAGGCAAGAAAAGCUAUGAUAUGGCCAGGCAUGGUGGCUCACACCCGUAAUCCCAGCACUUUGGGAGGCCAAGGUGGGUGGAUCACCUGAAGUCAGGAGUUCGAGACCAGCCUGGGCAACAUGGUAAAACCCCAUCUGUACUAAAAAUACAAAAUUAGCUGGGCGUGGCGGCGUAUGCCUGUGAUCCCAGCUACUUGGGAGGCUGAGGCAGGAGAAUCACAUGAACCUGGGAGACGGAGGUGGCGGUAAGCCAAGAUCACACCACUGCACUUCAACCUGGGCAAUAGAGUGAGAAGAAAAUCUAUGAUAUAUAUUGAAAACACCAAUACCAUUAGGAAAUAAGUGGUAUGAGGUUGUUAUUUAUUUAGUUAGGGAUGUUAUAGACAGUGGUAAAUAAUAAUGAAUGUUUAUGCUUUGUGUCAGUGGUGUGACUGAUACUGUCUAUGUAGAGUAAAUAAAAUAUAUGUUAUCUCAAAUAACCUAUGUGACUGAAUCAGUGGAAGAUAGAAUGCAAAGAGUAAUGCAGAUAAUGUCUUAAUUUUUUCUGAUCAUCUCUUGUGCUCUGUACUCCUCAAAAUAAACAUACUCUGGCUGAUUUUAUCAUUCUUUUUUAAUGGUAAGAUCCAUGGUUGCGUCUAUGUGUUAUAUGGUGUGUGGAGACCAAUGUGAGUGACAGUCAACAUUCUUGGUUUCAGUGUUUUUUAAAAAAGAUAUUCGUAGUAUUAUUAAGAAGUGUUAAAUACAAUCAUUGAAGGUAAACUUUGGCCCAUUUGUAAAAAUAGGAUUAAUAUAAAGCAUUAUGUUGAUUAAUGUAUAUAUAUAAAACAUUGAAUUUAACUAAUGAAAACAUUGAAUUUAAUUAAUGAAAGAGGUGUAUUGCUGUGAGUAAUAUUGACAUAGACAGAUAUAAGAGCUAUUUAAGGAUUUUACUCACAAGUUUUUGUGACUCUUAGGUAAUUAUUGUUAGUGAACUGAUAAAUUAAUCAAUAAAAACACGUAGACACGAAUUAAGAAAAGGAGGUCCAAGCUUGAGCAAGCGAUGACAGCCGGUGGUGUGUGAGUCAUGGAGGAUGAAUACUAAGUGCCUGGAACUCUGAGGUUCAAUAUAAUAGAAAUCUAAUCUAUUCCUCUGUUGAAAAAAAUCCUUUAGAUAGAUGUUAGUGAUAUCAAGGCUGUUUGCUUCCAAUUUUACAGUUCAUGGAUUGUGAUUGUGUUAAUAUAAAUGAAUUAAUGAAAGAAUCAAACAAAGAUUUGAAUGAUUAAACAUGAAGAGAGAGAGAGGCAUAUUCUAAUUGUUAACAUAUGUGGCAAGGAAAGAAAUACUAUUAAUUAAUUUGGAAUGGAUAAUAAAUGGGCCAGUGGUUUUUAACUCUCUGGCUAAGAAUCAUAGAGCCACUGAUAGAGCAAUAGCACUGAUUAUUAGUUAUCAAUGGCUAUGUGAUUUUUAGGUCAAUUCUCAGGUCAACUGGGUCAAUUGUAAGUUCAAUAUUUAUUUUAUUAAGGGGGAAAUAAGCAAAUAUUAACAAAUCAAUAAAUACCAACUGACAGAGUAAAUGGAAGGUAGAAUGAAAAAAUUAAUGGAUAGAAAGUCUCAAAUUUUGUCUUCUGCUCUUCCUUGUAAUCCUCAGAACAGUCACUCCCUGCACUGAUUCUGCCAUGACCACUUGCUCUAUGGUUGUUUUAAGGAACCUACAGACAAAUGUGAGUAAUCGUCAAAGUUCUUGUCUUGGUUUGGGCCAUUUAAGAGUGGUCAAUGCAUUAUUAAUAAGUAGAAAAUAUAAUUAAAGAAGACUAACCGUGGCCCCAAAAUGAACAUGGGGUUGAUAUGAAACAUUUUGUUGAGUAAUGCAUGUUUGAAACAAUCAGGUCAGUUCAAGAAACAUGUCUAAUUUCUGUAGGAACUGCUCUACAGAUAGACAACAGGGUUAUCACAGCUCUUGUCCUAUUUUUUUUCUGAUUCAUGUCUAUUUCUUUAUUAUAAAGUAGUAAAUUAAUAAAUAAAUGAAAUAGACAAAGUCUAAAUGAAAAAAAUGAUUGAUGGUCUGUGGCCUGGCCCAGAGAUGAUGACUCAUGGGUGUGAGUCAAGGAUGAUGAGUAAUAGGAGUCAGGAAGUUUAAGCUCCAAUAUAAAAGAAAUCUAGCCUAUUGAUCAGUUGGAAAUGAUCCUGUAGACAGUAGUUAAAAAUAUUCAGUUAUCGGCUGGGCACAGUGGCUCACACCUGUAAUCCCAGCACUUUGGGAGGCCGAGGUGGGCAGAUCACAAAGUUAGGAGUUUAAGACCAGCCUGACCAACACAGUGAAACCCCAUCUCUACUAAAAAUAUACAAAUUAGCCGGGUGUGGUGGCAAGUGCCUGUAAUCCCAGCUACUUGGGAGGCUGAGGCAGGAGAAUUGCUUAAAUCCAGGAAGUUGAGGUUGCAGUGAGUCGAGAUUGCGCCACUGAAUUCCAGCCUGGGCAACAGAGUGAGACCCUGUCUCGAAAAAAAAAAACAAAAAAAACCCCCCAAAAAUCAGUUACCCAAUUCUUGUGCUUUUGUAAUUCACGGAUAAUGAAUUAAUGCAUGAAGAACUCAAGUAAAAGAAAUAAGUGAAUAAAAACAUGGCCACACCUGGACCAACUAUAACAUGUGUAAUGAAGCAAGUCACAGUACUGAUCUAUUGCUCAGGGAGUGGGAAUUGUGUCAGAUUUUUAAUCUCUCAGAAUGAGAAACAUGUAGACAAAUGUAUGAGCUGUCCAUGUUUAUAUUGAGUUGUCUUUGGUUUCCUGGUUGUCUUAUCCUUAACUAGGGAUGUUGUUUAUAUAAAUAAAAAGCUAUUUUUAAAGAGGGCCAGUGACAAGAAUUUGUUCUGUAACAAGAGCUAUUGUGCUCACUAAAUUCCAUUACAAAGUGACAUCAUCUGUUAUUACUUUGGUAAUGAUCAACUAUGCAUGUGCUACGAUGAUCCAUGCUGUAGUUUAGAUCAUGUGUAAGGAUACUGAUUUUAUCUUAAUAAUGAACAAAUGCAUAAGUUAAUAAUAAUCAAUUAGCUAAAAAGGAUAAAGCAAGGGCCAGUAGCAAACAUGUCUGGAAAUGAUGGUUGUGAUGUAACUGGGUCCGGAGAGUGUAUUCUUCUUAAGGCAAGUAUUUUGGCUCUUACAAGUGUUUGCAUAAUUAGGCUAUACAUAGACGCACAGUAUCAGACACGUUCUGGGUUUCUGAGGGUUUACAUAUUGUUCUGUUUCUUUACAAAGAAUGAAUAAUUCGCCAAAUUGGUUUGUGAAUGAGUGAAUGAAGUGAUAGCAAGCACUGUUCAUUGGUAUGAAAUUGCUCUGAAACAAGUAUUUAGAUGAAUCUAAUUGUGCAUAUGGGAGGGCCAAAGAUUUAGGUUGUUGAGUGCAUGGGUGGAGGCAUUGAAGCUCACGUGUUUUGUAGAGAACUCUCAUUCUUGAUUCAGGUGUUGGAUUCAAAGGCAUCCAUUUAUUUUAUUUAAGUUCUGGGGUACAUGUGCAGGAUGUGCAUGUUUGUUACAUCGGUAAACAUGUGUCAUGGUGGUUUGCUGCACCUAUCAACUCAUCACUUAGGUAUUAAGCCUGGCAUGCAUUAGCAGUUUUUCCUGAUGCUCUCCCCACCCUCCCCUGACAGGCGCCAGUGUGUGUUGUUCCCCUCCUGUGUCCAUGUGUUCUCAUUGUUCAGCUCCCACUUAUAAGUGAGAACAUGCGGUGUUUUGUUUUCUGUUCCUGCAUUAGUUUGCUGAGGAUAAUGGCUUCCAGCUUCAUCCAUGUCCCUGCAAAGCACAUGCUCUCAUCCCUUUAAUGGCUGCAUAGUAUUCCAUAGUGUAUAUGUAUCACAUUUUCCUUAUCCAGUAUUUGGGUUGAUUCCAUGUCUUUGCUAUUGCGAGUAGUGCUGCAAUGAACAUACGUGUGCAUGUAUCUUUAUAAUAGAAUGAUUUCUAUUCCUUUGGGUUAUAUAUCCAGUAAUGGAAUUGCUGGGUCAAAUGGUAUUUCUGCUUCUAAAUCUUUGAGGAAUCACUACACUGUCUUCCAUAAUGGUUGAACUAAUUUAUAUUCCCACCAACAGUGUAAAAUCAUUCUUAUUUCUCUUUAACUUCAUCAGCAUCUGUUUUUUCUUGACUUUUUAAUAAUCACCAUUCUGACUGGUAUGAGAUGGUGUCUCACUGUGGUUUUGAUUUGUAUUCCUCUGAUGAUCAGUGAUGUUGAGCCUUUUUUCUUGUUUGUUGGCUGCAUGUAUGUCUUCUUUUGAGAAGUGUCUGUUCAUGUCCUUUGCCCAUUUUUUAAUGGGGUUGUUGGUUUUUUUCUUGUGAAUUUGCUUAAGUUCCUUGUAGAUUCUGGAUAUUAGACCUUUGUCAGAUGGAUAGAUUGCAAAAAUUUUCUCCCAUUCUGUAGGUUGUCUCUUCACUCUGAUGAUAGUUUCUUUUGCUGUGCAGAAACUCAUUAGUUUAAUUAGAUUCCACAUGUCAAUUUUUGCUUUUGUUGCAAUUGCAAAGGCAUCAAUUUUAAAUGCAAAAUUAAUAAUUGAAUUAAUGUGACAAAAAAGAGGGCUUUCUGGCCAGUUGUAAAAAGAGCAUGACCCAAUUAUAAAAAUUAAUCUAAACUUGCUCUCCUUUCAUUUAUUAGAAUAUUAGAGCACAGUCAAAAUUUAGGAUGUUUCAUUCUUUUUACCAUUUGCAUUCUACCCUCCAGAAUGGAUUAUCAUUGGUGAAGAUCUUAGCUGGUAAGUUUCUGGGAAAAAGGCUAUAGACCUAUACAAAUAAUGCCCAAAGUUCUUGUCCUUGGGUGGGGUGUUUACUCAGAGGUAUUCAUUGUAUUAUAAAAUAAUGCAUAAAUGACUACAUCUAUAUACAGAAUUAAAAAAGAACAGGGAUGAGAGUGUGUUACACACCAAUAAUUAGAAUGAGUCCAAUCAGAACAUCUGUGGAAUUAUAUAUUUUUAAUAUCCCAAAACACUGAGUUUUAUGAAUAAAUUAAUAAAUCAGGAAUGUUCCUUCUUUCGGUAAGUAUCAUAUAGACAAAGAAUAGUAAUAGUCAACGUUUUUGCUCUGGGAGAAUGGUGAGUUCAAGUUUGUCUUGUUAAGAGAAACAAAUAAAUAAUUUCACAAAUUUAUCAAUACCUAAUUAUAAAUAGCUAAGCAAAUUAACGGGGGAAACAUGGAUCAAUUGAAAGAAUUUUUGAUAUUUUCACUCCCUUUUUGUAAGGGAUAUUCCUGCAUAUUUUGUGUAUACAUUUUUAAAGGUAUAAAAGAAUACAUGUUUAUUUUUCCUUUUUUUCACCAUCUGCUUUCAGUUCCAUAGAAGGAACACACUUAUCACUACAAUGAUUCUGUAAUGAUGAAGACCUUUAUGGGUCAGUGUGAGUAAUGAUCCAAGUUCUUGUCAUUGUUGGGAUGGUCCAUUUAGGGUAUUUAGUGUAUGAUAAAAUAAUACGUAAUAUAAUCAAUGAAGGCUACAGAAGAACCAAUGAUAAGAUUGUAGUAUAAAUCAAGGUUCAUGAUGACUACUGUUUUGCACAACAGAAGCCCUUUUUAAAAGAAGAGCUCUACAUUUUUAGCUCUGUGGGUAUGGAAUAUGGAGUCAGAUGUAUGUAACUCUCACAGUUUUUAUGUUGGGUGGUUCAUUUAAGGGUAUUCCUGAUAUUGUUAAAAUGGAUAAUAUGUUAAUUAAUAAGAUGGAGCUCCAUUCACAAACCAGAGAUAACAAUGUGGCAUAAAUCAUUGUUUGUGAUCAAUUUCUACGAUGGUUACUUCAUGUUUACUAAGUCGAAACCUAAAUCUAGGUCUUUUCAGUUGGUAAUUUCCUCUUUCAUUUGGUAAUAUCAUCUACAGGAUGGGUAGACCAGAGCUGAUUAAAUUAUUCUCCCAUUGAUGAGGAACUUUACCUUAUCCCUCAGAGUAAGGAGAAUGUCAUAUAAUGUAAGUAAUAAAGUUCUUGAGUUGGGUUGUUGGUUCAUGAUUUCUACUGUCAUUUAAAAAGAUAAUUAAAUUUUAAAAGGUCAUACAUAGGCCUAUGAUGAGAAUGUGUUAUGGACCGAAAUUAAUCCAAUUUAGCACAAAUGAAGUGUAAGAAAAAAAACUUAGCUUUUCCAUUCAUUUUCAAUAGUUAAAUGUCACAUUGUAUGUUUGUCUCAUUGAUUAUUUAAAGACUCUUCUCUUGAUAAAGGCUGUUACUCAUUUAUGGAGUCAGUAUUCUAGUUGUUGAGUAGGAUGGUGGUUCAAGUUUGUUCAUUUGAUAUCUAAAAGUUGUUCAAAUUAAAUGUAGAGGGGCCAUGUCUGGACCAAUGAUGUGAAUGGAAUGCAUCUGAAUAAAAAUUAUGAUCAAUCAGUUUUGGAACAACUGAGGUCCACUGCAAAAUGAAGAACUAAUAUGUAAACCUUUGUGGGAAUAAUGUCAGGAAAGUUUGAGAAUCUAGUUCUGGAGCUUGACAGGGUUCACAGGUACUGAUUUUAUAUGAUUAGCAGAUCCACUUGUGUGGAUCAACACACAGUAUAUUCAUGAGUAAAGAAAAAGAGGUUAAGACAUGGACCAAUUCUGAGGGCAUGUUGUAAAGCAAGGAAUAUAAUUAAUUCAAUUCUGAAAUACCUUGGUCCAUCAAGAAAAAAAAACAUAUUAAAUUUGUCACCACUUUGGGUAAGAAGCAUCUAGAUAGAAGUACUUAAUAGUCAAUGUUCUGUUCUUAGUUUGCUGUGGGUUCCCAGAUGUUUGAUUCAUUAAGACAAAAAAAUUAAAAUUAAACAAACAAAUACGUGUAUAACUAAAUAAAUGGGUGCCAAGUAUGAACCAAUGAUAAAGGUACUUCAUUAUUUUCUAUAUCUGCUUUGUAACCCCACAGAACAGAGGUAACUUGGCUGUUUUAAUAAUUAUUUAAAGGAUGAAGAUCUUGACUGUUACCCAUGUGGCAAGGAGAGUGUAGAACAGGGUGAGUCAGAUUAAGUUUUUAUUCUUGGUUUAGCCUUUUGUUAGAGAUGAUGAUUAAUUAUUAUUUGAAAAGAAGAAAUGACUUUAUGCAGUCAUAAAAUCCAAGAAGACCAUGCCUGAACCAGUGAUAAGAAUGAAUCCUGCCAAGUGUCAUGGUUAAUUCAUUUUGCAAAACGAGAUCCAUUUAAAAAGAGGUUUGGUUUGCUAUCUCUUAGAUUAAGGAGAUUAUAGGCAGAUUCUAGCCUUGGUCAAAGAUCUUGUUUUUGGGUUAGUUGUGGUUCUCUUGAGUUUUGUUAUUUUAUUAAAAAUAAUAAAUAGUUAAACAAGUACAAAGCAUUUAUGCUAGUAAAAUUACAAUGGCCACUCAUGACCAAUUUGGAGAUUAUAUCAUGAAACAAGGAUUUGUUUAACUUGGGUUAACUGUUUUAUCACUGUUUGAGGAGGUCAUGGAAAGAUUUAAAUGAUAGUCAAUUUCUCCCCCUCUUUCUUGGGAGUAGAUUCUUUGUUGUUGACUUUGUUUUUGAAAAUGAGUGACUGACUAAAUUAAUGAACGACAAAAACACUAGAAUGGACAAGAAUAUUCAAAUGAUGACAUUUCAUGAAGCAAGAAUUAUGAUCAACACAAUUCUGCUUCUCUGAAAUCCAUUUAACAGAAAAGAGUCAAUCUGUUUUCUCUGUGUAUAAUGAGGUCAGAAACAGGUGUUAAAAUAUUCAGUGUUCUUGUUUUUGUAUUUUGGUGGGUUCAUGGAGUUGAUUAUUAUGAUUAAGGAAAUAAGUAUAUGAAAAAGUAAAUUACAAGAGGGUAAAUCAUGAACCAGUGAUUAAAAUGUGUUUUGAAACAAAGAUUAUAGGUAUUUCAGUUCUGCACUGUGGACUUUUAUGAAACGAAACCUUAAUCUUUUGUAUCUUUAUUUUAAUAGUACAUAGUACCAUUCUGCAUAUACUAUGGAUAUAUUUUAGACAUUUUCUCAUGCUACUUACAUUGAGUUUUUUUCACUAUCUGAGUUAUAAAUUCUAGUGAAUUGAUUUAUUUGGAGGUGGUGGUAGGAAACCCCUAUGCCCCAUAUUUUAAAAUUUUCUGGCAGCUGAUAUCUAAGAGAGUACUAAAAUGACUAAUAUUAAGGUAUUAAUUUCAGCUCAACAAGUAUUGAUGCUAAUUCUUGUCAGACCCCAUACGAGGAGUGAAAUUUAUAUAUGAAUUUAGUCUAGUUCCACUCAUUGAGUAGCUCUGUGAGAUUAGAUGGAGACCCACUUACAAAUGCAGCAAUUCAAUAGAAUAGGGCAGGUAGAUGGGUUCUCUGUGAGACUAGAGGGAGACCCACUUCUACAUGCAGCAAUUUGAUAAAAUAGGACAGGUAGAUGGGCUUUCUAGAAGCACAGAAGGUAUGCCUUCAGCUCAAUCUUAGUGUCAGUUGAGUUGUGGAAGAGAUGACUCCUGAGCCAGUGACAGACUCAUUAGUCCAUAGCUCUGCAAAGCUGGGGACCACACUCCUCUCCUUCACUGCUCUGCCCCUUGUGCCUUACAUGGACAGCACAUGCAAUAAGCAUCUGUUGAAUGAAUAGGUGAAUACAUGGUGAAUAAAAGAAUGGAGGAGUGAAGCAGUAUAUGAACAAAUGAGUCUUUGAGUAGACAAAGGAAUGAAAAAAUGAAGUAAUGAAAAUGGGAAGGAGUACACGAAUGAGUGAAUGGAUCAAUGAUAGGUCCAUGAGUGACUGAAUCAGUGAUAAGUGGAUAAAUGCAUGGUGAGUUAAUGAGUGGGUGAGUUCAUGUGUAAGUAAAAAUGUCACAAAGUGAAUGAGUGGAUGAUGAAUGACUAAGUCAUUGAGCGAAUGAAUGGAAGAUUAAUAGGUCAAGUAGUCAAGAAAUGAAAGACAAACAUGUAAAUUGAUGAGUGAAUCAAUGGGUCCAUGAAUUCUUGAAUGAAUUUAUGAAUUAACAGAUAAAUGAAAGUCAAUCAGUAAUGAGAAAAUAAAUGAAUAGAUGAGUCUAUGUAUGCAUCAAUCAAUGAGUUAAUGACUCAAUGAAGAACCAAAUGAAUGAAUUAAUCUAGGAAUUAGUGAGUUUACUAAUGAAUAAAUCAAAGAAAGAGGAAACAACCAAAUAAAUUAACUGGAUAAAUAAGUCAGUGAAUGAAACAAAUUAUGAGCGAAUAGACAGACAAAGGGAUGGAUAAUUGAUGGAUAUAUUACAGCUAGUGAAUAAAAGAGUGAAUUAGUGAGUGAGCAAAUGAGUCAGUGAAUGAGUAUGUAAUCAAGGAAUAAAUUAGCUCUGGGAAUGAGUAAGUGAAUAAGUGAAUGAGUCAAUAAAUUAGUGAAUUAGUCACUUAUUGAAGCAUAAGGCAGCGAGUGAAUGAACUCACACUGGGACUCUUUCCCUGACUGUUCAACAGAGAGUAGUCAUGCCCCAGCUUCACACCACAGCAUAAAUAACUCAAUCAGAGCACCCACCCUACGCUAUCGUGGGCGUUUGUUUACAUGUCAUCACUAAACUGAUGUGCCGCAGGGGCCAGGAACUGGGUCAGAUUAUUCUCUGUAUCCCUGGUGCCUGCCCAGCUCUGAGCCUCGGAAGAGCACAGUAAAUUGUUGCUGAAUGAAUGAACGAUAGCUAAAAAUACAUUUGCUUUUUUGGAACCAGGAUGGCCCAUCUGAGAAUGGCUUGGGAGCUGUUCUUUGGGGAGGUGUGCUGUGUGUCAGAUGGUUUGUGGCAUCCUCCUACGCAAGUCCAGAUUCUGCCUUGAAUCCAGCUUACUGUGUCCAGUGCCAGACAGUGAGACAGGAUACUGGCAGUUCGGACUGCCCUGGACAUUGCCCCAUCCUUGGGCAAUGCUGGCGUGGCAUGGUGAAGUGAAAGCCCUAGGUCUUCCCGAAAGCUGCCCUUGCCUCUGCCAGGACAGGAGAUCAGAAAUAACCCGGUCUUGUUUUUAUGCCUCCAGCGAGUGGGCCCACUCCAUGCCUUUCCAAGCAACCACAUUCCUCCUUGCUGUAGUUGUGGGACACUGGGUUGAAGCACCCCUUGACCUUUAUCUGGUAGAUGAGAAUAACAAUCCCUGUCUGGCUGGGUGGAUGUGCUGCUUUACAGGAGAUUAUUUAAUACAUGUUACAUAGGUAGCAUGGUACCUGGGAGGAAAGAGAUGUCUCAGAAAUGUUACAUGCCAGUUUUCAUCAUCCCCACCUAACGUAGCUAUAUUUGAUUAUUUCAAAUGCAUUAAUUUAAAAGCUCUCAAAUGGAUGUGAUACUCAAAUUCCCCUCUUCCAGAAGAUUGGAGAGUUCAACUGAGUUCUAGGAAGAACACCAGUCUGGAUGGUAUUCUGGGCCAGUCCAGACCUUCAAGAUGGCAUGGCACACCCUUCUACCCGGGAACAGACAACCAGAAAAAUGAAUUGGCAAUACCCACGCUCUAUGUAGGACACAUACACAAGACCCACCCUUCACCUCUCUACCCUUCCCUCCCUUCCUUCAUUCAACACCUAGGUAUUCAGGGCCCACUGUAUGCCUCACACUGACCAUUUCUUGUCUUCUCUUGUCUUGGCUGGCUCCUGACCCUGGAUUUCAUCUCUGACUGGUGUUCUCACGUCCUUCGUUUGAACUUGGCGAUUGGUUCUUGGUCAUCUGGUGUGGAUACUGCCCUCUCCUUCGUGAGGACUUGAUUUGGGCUUCCUACUUCAGAGCACGUCAGGUAGACUCCCCCUUCUUAGUUUGGGGUAUUGGGACCCCUAUUCUGACUCUUCCAGAUCAGCCGUUUUCCAUCUGGGUGAGCUCCAGCCCCUUAUAAGAGGAGCUUAGGCUGUGUUGGUGUCAGGGAGACCUCUGAAUGCUGGGGUUGGGCAGCAACGUCAGCACAGAAGGCUUCGGACUAGACUCUGAGGUUUGCUUGGUGCCUGGAAGCUGAUCUAGGAGAGAGGAGUUAGGUUGUCACUGCCCCCCGUCCACAGAAUUCCUUGGAUAAUGAGGCAAAACAACCUCAGAGCAUUCAGCAACUUACAAUUAAUUUAGUUUUCCCAUCCCUCCCACUGGUUACUCACCUGUGCUGGGCCUGACACAAAUGUCACCCCCUCUCCUAUCUUCACAGCCCCCUGCCCUCUCCCGUAGCUUCCUUUCCACAGUCCUCUGUUCACACCUGCCCUUUCUCACUCCUCCGUACUCAUGCCAGAACCCACAUCACAUUGUCUGCUAUGAGCUGCCAAUUUAUCCCAAAGGGCUAUGAGCUUCUUGAGGACAGGUGUUCUUUUUAUGUCAUUAUAGCCCACAGAAGGUCUAGACAUCAGGAAAUGUUAGGUGAAUUAGGUGUUCAUCCAGUCAUUCAUUUAUGCAAAAGGCAUCAGGCCCUUUCUGUGUGCUACAAGCUGGGUGGUAGAAGUAAGUAACCUAUCUUACAAGAAGUAAGAGAGACACCACCUCUGCUCUUAUAGAGCUCCAAGUCUUGGGUGAGAGAUUUUAAGCAAAUGUUUCUGGCAAAAGAACUUAAUUACAUCGUGAUAAGUGCUAUGAAGCCAUGGCUCUAGGGACUGUCAUUCACUUGGCCAGCUGGGUUGGUCCAGAUGCUCACAGGAAGUUCCCCUUGCUUCUCUCCUUGGCUUUGAGGAGAGCCUGAGAGAAGGACAGGACUCUAGCCAUGGUCAGAGAUGGCCAGUGGCGUUGGCCCUCUGGGGUCAGGUCUGUGGGGUGUUUGGACAUCUAGGAGGAAAGAGGAAUGACUGGACCUGGGGGUUUGUGCUUGGCUGUUACUUGAGUUCUGCUUGAUAAUGACCUGGGCGGUUGUGAGCCGUCAAACCCUGCCCUUCACUCAAGCACCUCACCUGUUAACAAAGUCUCUGCUGAGUGUCAGGGUUUGGUCUUCCCUGGUCAACUUCCAAGUAUUUCUCUCAGAUAUUUUGCCAAAUGACAAACUAAAGGUAGACUGGAAUAUGAGUUGACCUUUUCUUUUUCUUCCACUGCAUUUCAUUCUGAGUUUCUUAAAGUGGUUGCCUGAGAAACAGUGAUAUCCUGCAGGCAGCCGGGCCACUGGGCAUGUGCUGUUCCAGGCAUCAUCCCAGCUGCCUCCUCCUUCUGCCUUUGCUGUUCAGUCUCCACCAAAGCACCCAUCUCUCCUCUGUAGCACCUCCAGUGAGCUCACAGGUCCCUUUUCUCAUCUGCACCACCAUGCCACCCAGGCUUCCCUCAUCUUGGGCUGGUCUUUCUGCUCCCACCUCCACUCUGUUCUCUUCCUGGGCGGUGGAGUUAGAGCAGUCUUUCUAGAAUGCAUGACCCAGAGUCCCUGCUCCUGAGAGCCCGCUCAUGGCUCCCACAGGCCCCAGGAUGGAGGCCCAGUUCCUUCCCUCCUGCCACGCCUCCCACUACAUGCCCCCUGCCCUUGUGUGCUGCCUGGCAGAGCCUCCCUGGGUCUCCAGGCGUGUGUGUCUCUAUGCCUUUGUCCCUGAUCCCCUCCCUGUGGUCACCCUCCCACUGCUCCAUAGAUGCAAGACUUCUCUUGCUUCCCUCCCCAAGGUGGGCUAUGUUGCCCCACACUCUGAACUGUUACAAGGCCAUGAACUUGACCUUCAUUCAUAACAUCUGUUGCUUGGUCAUGAUUUGUUUAGGUGUCUGCUUCCACAACCAGACCUUCAGCUCCCUGGGUAUAGGUGCUCUGUCCUGGGCACCUCAGACUCUCCCACUGUCCAGUACAGAACCCAGUGCAGAGGAGCUGAUCAUUAAGAACGUUAGUUGAAUUGAAGGAAUGAGUGGAUGCACAAAAGGAUGGUUGUAUGGUCAUACUGGGGCACAAAUUAUAUCCCUGGCAGAGAACUGGGGUCCCUGGCAUGGCGGAAUAGCACCUCCUUCUCCAGCCAACUCCACUUUGCCUUCCACCUGCGACUCAUUAAGAGAUAUGUAACCUUAAUCCUUGAAAUUGCCUGGGACGGAGCAUGUUUUCACUCAAUGGCAUGAACAUGGGGAUUUUUUUUCCUUUCUUAAAUAAAUCUCACUCCCCCAGGAAGCUUGGACAGGAUGUGGGCAAUCGAACUAGCUCUUGAAACUGAACGUUUUGCAAAAGGCCCCUUUCGAAAUUUGAAACCCUGUGGCCACCGGCCAGAGCUGAGUCUGGCUUGUGGGGGUCGCGGGGGCCUCCUCAAAGAAGGGAAGGGAAGGGAAGAUUGAAAAUAAACCUAGGCUGAUGGUUUGUGAGACAGAAUUCCGAGGUCUGGUUUUGCUUCUCUGAUGAAACUUGAGUGAGCUUGGCUAUCCUCUUUAGCUCUUCUUUCGAACCUUUGGCCGAAGGCUCCAACCCUCCCAAAGGCAGAAGGGAGCUUAAUUUGUCCUGAAAUGGAUGGGACAAGUGUGCAGGCACUAGGUGGGAUGGGAGCUUUAUCCCAGUUUGGGAGGAGAGGGAACUCAGGGCCAGGGCCAGCGAUUGUACAGUCCCACUCAGAGGACGGAGUGGCUGGAGGCUGACCCUUCUCCCAGGGAGCAGGCGCUGGGUGGACCCUGACACUGGGGAGAAUGAAAGGAAAAUUGUAUCAUGCCUGUUGUGUGCCAGGCAGAGCUAGCAGUUCCCCUUUCAUCCGGGCAAUUUCCCGGGCGGGUGAUGUCAGUUCCUCAUUGUGCAGACAAGGAAACUGAGACCCGGGGCCCAUCCCAUCCAUGAUCAGGGCCCAGGCAGUUCCGACUCAAUGUUCAGUGCUCUCUGCAGGCAUCCGGGCACUUGCCAUGCAGAGCAGUGACCAAGGAUCACAGAUGCAGUGGGCCGGGGGGGAUGGCAGAAAACAAAGGGUUAGGGUGCCCGGAUGCCAGGUUCUCAGUGCUGGUGUCCGCACAACUGGCUAUCCCUAUGCCCCUGCUGUCCUCAGUGGGUGGACACUGGACCUGGACUGACCCCUGGGACAGGAGGAUUCAAGGUGUCUUGUUCUCUUUUGAUUUCUUUUAUCUUUUCUCUGCCAGGAAAGAUACUGAUCUCUGUUCUUGGUUAAGUUCCAAGAACCAUCUAAGUUUCGUGCCCCUCAGCUGUAAAAGGGAAGUACAUUUCAUUUGUUUAUUCUGUAAAACUCUCGGUGUGUGCCAUGGCCAUGAACUGAUGAUGAGCACAUGUGUGCGGCCCCUGCCCCCGUGGAGCGCGUGCAUGGUCCUCCAGCCAGAGACCACGCUGGGAGAAAUCAGGGGUUCACUCCUGGUCGGAGGUGAGCAUCUGCCUCUGCAUGCAGGAAGGCAUCUCAUGAAACCCCAAAGGCCUGGCAGCCCCUGCACAUGGAAGGAGUCACUCUCCUCCAUGUGGGGUGAGCCACGCUGGCCUUGUGGCAUUCACAUGUUCCCUCCACCUGCUUCUCCAGCCUGAAGGGGACCUCAGUGUCCUCUGAUGACCUUCUUGAAGAGAGAUAUUUCCUUCCUUCAUUGGAGGCUUUAGACGGAGCCAGUGACAGCUCAGCUCUGGCUGUUUCCCAUCUGUGAAAUGGGAAGAGGGAGGAUGGCACGAGUUCCUUGCCCUCACCAAACUGGCCGCUAGAGAGAGGAAAGAUGUUUCCAUUCUGAUCCCCACUCACCUCCACCCCAUCCUUCCAGGCUCCUGAUCCUCAUUGUAAUUUUGGAGCUAUUUGGUGAUAUUUUCUUUGUCCUUGGAUCCGAGGCUUCUCCUACCAACUCAUUGUUUUUUCAACGUGACAAAAUAAAAGCCCUGGGCUGGGCGCGGUGGCUCACGCCUGUAAUCCCAGCACUUUGGGAGGCCGAGGCAGGUGGAUGACGA